rnacentral:lncRNA from 1 species
AACCUUUUUCUAGCAAAUGGAACGUUUAAAGUCAAUAACGGACAAGCAACUAGAUUUUGGGAAGAUAAGUGGCUGGGGAAUUUUACACUCCAGCACAAAUACCCGAGUCUAUAUAAUAUUGUUCGACAUAAAAAUGUGAAAGUAGCUACGGUGCUUGAGACUGUCCCGCUAAAUGUAUCCUUUCGCAGGGGAUUGCAUGGAGAUAACUUGGGACGGUGGUAUUCGCUAGUUAACAGGGUAGUGGGCCUUUCAUUAAACCAAUCAAAAGACACUUUCAGUUGGAGCCUUCACCAAAACGGGAAGUUCUCCUCUCACUCGAUGUAUGCAGCCUUGAUUGAGAGGGGAAUACACCGUCAAGAGUCUCUCAUCUGGAAACUUAAAGUACCACUAAAAAUUAAGAUAUUCUGCUGGUUCCUAACACGGGGGGUGAUCUUGACAAAAGACAACCUAAUCAAAAGAAACUGGGUAGGAUCAAAAAAGUGUAUGUUUUGUUCUCAUGACGAGACCAUCCAACAUCUUUUCUUCGAUUGUCACUAUGCUAGAUUUCUUUGGCGAACGAUUUUCUUUACCUUUGGUAUUAGAGAACCAACUAGCAUACAGGAUAUGGGAUCCUCCUGGUUGCAGGAGUUCGAUAAAGAAACAAAGGCAAAGAUUUAUGUUGGUGCCAUAGCAAUCUGCUGGGCGUUGUGGCUAAGUCGAAAUGAUGUGGUUUUUGAUAAGAAGCCUAUUAUAACUUACUUGCAGGUACUCUUUCGAGGGACUUAUUGGUGUCGGUUCUGGGGGCUUCUCCAAAGGCGUGAAGAGGACAUCGUAAGGAUCAAAGUUGCCUGCAGGACCCUGGAAGUCUCAAUGAUGCAAAUCUUCGCCAAGCACGGUUGGAGCUUUAGAAAUAGAAUAACUAGUGGCUAGUUAUUCCAAUCCCAACUGCGCUUGGGUCUUUUUGCCGCUUGUGGCUUCUUUUAUUUUCUGGCAGUACUACUGUUUUUUGGACGGCCGUCAUCUUUGAUGUAGGCCGGGAACCUUUUUCCCAUUAUCUAAAAAAAGAAAAGUGGUGGAAUGAUAAAUUCCAAACUAAAUAGGUUACUUUAUAUUAAGUAAAUUCUAAAUUCUUGAAAAUAAAUGGAUCUAAACGCCCCGUCAAAUUAAUCAUGAAGAAAUAUUUAGACGGUUAUACAUUAUCGUGUGGCCAAAUCGAGGGAAUAAAAAGGAAACUUGUUGCCGAGUCUCACAAGGGAGGGAGUAAGCCAGUAAGGCAAAUCGACCCAAUAAAAAAUGCAUGGACGCAGAUUAUUGUAGUUUAAUUUUUGGAUCAACGGCUAGCUAACUUGCUUAUAACAACGUCUAUUAUUCGUGAUCCACAUGGCUGUGCAGUACAUGUACAUCAACAACUUGCUUAUUAAUAUACUGGCACGAACUUGAUCUAUCGAUCGUCGUAUGUCGAAGCCACGCACAUGAUGAAGAUCACCGUGGAGUCGUGGAAGGUCGUGACGCCCAGCUCCAGCUGCUGCAGCGGCGGUCGCCCUUCUCCCGAUGCCGACGGCGCUGUUCCGCUCACGGCAUUCGACAAGGUGACCUACGAUCUGUACAUGCAUGGCCUAUAUUUGUUCCCCCCGCCGGCGCCGCCUAGCUCCGUCCUUGUCGCGGGGCUCGCCGCAGCGCUGGCCGAGUACCCGGAGUGGGCCGGGCGGCUCGGCGUGGACGCGCAUGGCAACCGCGCCAUCCUGCUCAACGGCAAGGGCGCGCGGUUCGUCGAGGCCACGGCCGACGUCCCGCUCCGCAGCGUCCUGCCGCUGGAGCCAGCGACUUCCGAGACGCUGAGCCUGCACCCGGCCGCGGGUGCGGAGUCGGACGACGCCGCCGUCGGCGGAGAGGUUCUGCUGCUCCAGGUCACGCGGUUCCCCUGCGGCUCCUUCGUCGUGGGCACGGCCGCGCAGCAUCUCGUGUCCGACGGCGCCGCCUUGCGCAGCUUCUUGAACGCCUGGGCCCAGGCCUCGCGCGGCGCCGCCAUCGACGACCCCGUCCCCCUGCACGACCGCGUGUGCUUCUUCCUGCCCCGGGACCCGCUCCGGGUCGAGUUCGAGCACCGCGGCGCCGAGUACAAGCCGCACCCGCGCACGGAGAAGUCAAGGAACAAAGUCGACGACAGGGUGGUGAUACAUAGGGUGAACUUCAGCCGGAAGUUCGUCGCCGAGCUCAAGGCGCGGGCGUCCGCUGGCGCGCCGCGCCCGCGCAGCACGCUGCAGUGCGUGGCCGCGCACCUGUGGCGGUGCGUCACGAAGGCGCGCAGGCUCGGCGACUUGCGCACGGCCACCGAGCUCCGCAUCGCAGUGAACGGGCGGCGGCGGAUGAAGAACCCACGCGUGCCGGAGGAGUACACGGGCAACGUCGUGCUCUGGGCGCGGCCAACCACGACCUCGGCCGAGCUGCUAAGGAGUCCCCUGAGGCAAGUCGUGGAGCUCGUGUCCAAGGCGGUGACCGCCAUGGACGACGUCUAUUUCAGGUCCUUCGUGGACUUCGCAAGCUCUGGGGUGGUGGAGGAGGAAGGGCUGCUGCCGACGGCAGACCCGUUGGAGACGGUGCUCAGCCCGAACGUCGAGGUGGAUAGCAUGCUGGGGCUCCCGUUCCAGGACUUCGACUUUGGAGGUGGGCCGCCGUUCUUCUUCAUGCCAAGUUACUCGCCGGUGGAGGGCCUCAUAUGCAUCGUGUCGUCUUUCUCCGGUGACGGGAGCAUUGACGCCUACGUCCCUCUCUUCAGCCAAGCAAUGGACGUCUUCAAGAACUGCUGCCGCUCCCUGGCUGCAACAGACGCACGACUUUAGGCCAUGGACUUGCAUCCACGGCUCCCGAGGUCGUGAUGCAAACACCAAAGUUGCCAACCAUCUCGCCAUAAGCGUAUGGAUCUCACGACGCAGCUUGUUGGCGGGCCUAGUGCACGCAACACCGAGAUGAGAUUUCUUUAGCGAGUCCCAUGCGGCCUCGUAUUCAAAAAUUCGAAUAAAGAAAUUAGUGUUCCUACUCCUCUUUUGUGUCAUUAAUUAUUUACGAAGUGCUAUAGAUUAGCAAAAUCAUGAGUAUUCAAAUGCACACCCAUGAUACCUUGGAUUCGCCCUCCAAAGUCAGUUUUAUUAUUUUUUAUAGACUUUGACCUAUAUAAAUAUUUAAUAAUUCUAAAACACUUCUAUUACGUGCGGUAUGUGUUAUUCUUUAGUAUUAUAUGGGCAAUUGAUAGAAUGAUACACAAUUUAUAUAGUUGCUUCUGUUUAUCUACCUCCAAGGUCGAGAAAAGACUCAUAUUUUGCCACACGCGCGUGCCGCCACUGCCACCGAGGCAAGGCGUGGAAUUAAUAUGGACCGGUCUUUUCGGGCCAGCACGAGCACGGCUCGAAAACAGGAGCCCAAAGCAUGGUCCGACACGAAAUAAUGUGGGACGGGCUAGCACGGCUCGAAAGCGGGCUUAGACCGUGCCUCAAAUUCUGGUCCGUCGUGCCCCAACACGGCUCAAAAACAGGAGCCCAAAGCACGGUUCGGCACGGAAUAAUAUGUGACGGGCUAGCACGACCCAAAAGCGGGCUUAGACCGGGCCUCAAAUUCCGGCUCGGGCCCCAGCACGGCCCACAUAGAUGGGCCAGGCUUGGGCCGGCACGUCCCAAUUUAUUUAAUUUAUUUAAUUUAGUAAGAUAUCGAUUUUUAUAUUGUUGUCAUAUUUGGAGUUUAUGUGAUCAAAUGAUGCUAUGAUUGUUUAAUAUCUUUAAUUUAAUAAGCUAUGGACUUUAUGUGGUUGUAAUAUUUUGAUAUUAUGCGGUCAAAUAUACGGACCAGGCUUAGGCCGGCACGGUCCAAAGAAGACACGACGUGAUUUAGUGUUAGGCUGAGCCACUGUUUCUAUACUUCGGGCUGGCACGACACGGUCCAAAAUUUUUUAGGCUUUUCUAGUCCGAACCCGUUUGGCAUGAAACACGAUAGACUUGAGCCAAGCUAGCCCGGCCCAAUUCCCAGCACUGGGCGUGGCGUGGCGCGGCAACAGACACCACUCACCAAGUUAGACUGUUAGAAAAUUCAGCGAUUAAUUGUUUAUGUUUCUUUUUUCCUUUGGUUUCAAAUGGUGAUGUUAUCUUGCUAUUGAAAAUGUCUAACAAUCAAAAAAAUGUGAUAGGUUUUUUUACUAGCGGGCUUUGUAAGUAUGAGAAAACCAUAUGUUUUCUUAGAGAAAUCACUACAAAUGACAGCGUUGAAGAUUCAUACUCCCUCCGUUUCGUUUUAGUUAUCGUUGGAUAGUGUAAAAUUGAACUAUCCAGCGACAACUAAAAAGAAACGGAGGGAGUACUAUAAUUAACUGCUUUGUAUUGUUGUUUUGUUGUCGAACCUAGAACACAUGGAUCACAGUUUGUAUGUGUUCUUGGAUGCUGACACUAUAUUCAAGGGAGAAAUAAUUAACGUCAUAGGAGAUUAUAUAGUUGAUGCAUAUGUGACAAUGUCCAUAGCAAAAAAUAUGGAACACACUAGAGGCUGGAUAAUACGUAGUUUUCGACGCUAGUAGUGAGCUGUAUGUCAUAGAGCAGUUUUAUGACUACAAAAUAGGCGUGGACCAAGCUCAUGAAAUACAAAUAUUGGUGAAGAACUUUAAGGAUUGUGGUUGUAUGCUGCCAGAUAAGUUUAUGGCUGGCUGCAUCAUCGCUAAGUUGCUACAGACUUGAACAAAUUUUGCUACUUUUCUGAAAUAUAAGAAGCAAGAGUUUGACAUUAUCAACCUUAUUGGUUCUUUAGAUGUUAAAGAUAAAACGAGAGCUAAAAAUGUUCGCGGCAAGAGAGUUGUUUAGGAGAUUUUUAAUAUUCAUGUGGUGCAGAAAAAUCCUCAAAGUUCACGCGAAAAGAAAUUCAAGCAAAGGGUCAAACAAAAGAACGCCUUUUUAAGAAGAACAAGAAAAAAGACAAUUAUUUUACCUGUGACAAGCCCAUUCAUUAUGCCAGUGAGUGCACAAAAGCCAAACAAGAAAUCUACAAAUAUGGUUGACACUCUCUCCAUUCCAUAAAAUAAGACGUAUAAUUUUUUGGCAUGGUCUUUAAAGUAGAAAUAAAGCCUUUUAAUUCUUUUAAAUAUACCAUAUAUGAAUACAAAAUGAGCAUCAUAUUAAAUUAUUUUUGAAUACAAAUUCAAGUAUAUAACAUGUAUAAACUAAGAAUAUAUGUUUUGGCUAAAUUGUUAGGCAAAGUUUUAAAACGUUGAUUCUUUUUAAAAACAUGCAUGCAUUAUUUUAUAGGAUGGAAGGUGUACUGAUGUAGAAAAUCUCGGGUAUGAUAAUUUAUUACCUAUUGUUAUUUUGGUUUGCGUUUCACCAUAUCGAUGGGGAACAAAGCAUGUACGGUUGUUCGUAGUGUUAGUACACAGUCGAUCCGUACCUUCGGAAAAUACCAUAUAACUAAAGAACAUGCAUCAUAUCCACUCGCUAAGAAAGAAUUUAAUUAGUGGUUCAUUGUUAUGUCGUCGAGAUGGUUACAAACUUUUUUUUUUCGAGUGCAAUAAAUGUAUAUUGUCCCAGUAUAAAACCUUUAUUGACAAAGGCUAUGAGAGCAAAUGCUUGUUUUACUUGUCUUUACGUGAUGCUUGUUUGAAAAACACACGCUCAACAUGGCUAGAGCUAAGCUCACCAUAUUUAUUUGUCUAGACUAAGGUUCUCUCUAAGGUUUCCAGUACCUCUCUACUCAAUAUAUGUCCUUUACAUGCUUUUCUAAAAGAUUUCUUUAUCUCUAUAUAUCUUAUUUCCUCUCUAAUAGUGCCUUCUAUAUUUUAUUCUCUGUACAUCAAAGACCCAUAUUAUUAAUUUAUUUUGCUUCAGAUUUUUGUACGUGUGUAUUUAUCAUACCCUCAAAUAUAUUACACAUACCUUAGUUUUGCUUAACCCGUUGUCUAAAGUAUAAAAAUAAAUAGAGCAGAAGAGAGAUCUCUAUAUAUAGAGAAGGAAUAAGUAUCAUCUAUAUCUAGAUAAUGAUUUAGAGGAUAUGGUUAAAGGCUAUAUAUAAUAAAGGAAUUUUCUCUAAAUACAAAGUGUCGUUGAAGAAAGCGCUAAAAUUGGGAUGCUUGAGUUUUAGCAAAUCACUUUUUAAGUGGGAUAUAUUUUAGAGAAUGGUUCAGUGAGUAAAUUUGGCUACCUUUUUGUUGGAAAAUAUCUUAGAAUUGCUGCCACAAGCAAACUAUUUUGUACGGAAUACUUAUGGAACGAAAUGACGACAACUCAUUUAGUGAUAGUAGACCCAUCAUUAGGCUAUCUCCAACAAUGUAGUCAUCCUUGUCUCUAAUCUCAAACUCAUACUAUAGUAUACAAUGCAAAACAAUGUUUUACACGACUAGACUAUAUUAGGCUAUCUCCAACCGUGUAGUUGCAUGACCAUAUACACAAUUCGCGUGAUUACAUGCCUCAUUUCAGUCUGGCUUGCGCCAGCCUGGUUCCGCAGGAACGCACCUGUCUGACGUCUGCGCGCGUGCAGGUAAAUGACAGAAAAAUCACAUAAACUGCAUCUGCGCGUACAAGCUGAGCUCAUGCUAUGCAGGUAACCGAUCAUGGACUCACACGAUAACGCAUAUGCUGGGCCUGGGUACGGCGAGCGGGGUAACCAAUUAAGCUGAAUCUGCCAACCAUAGCCUCAAUGAUAAUACAUGAGAUUUUUUAUGAGUUUUUUUAUACUGUGGUAACGUGUGGAGAGUGUAGACUCGAGUAAAAGCAUGGCUCCUCCAGUUUUUUUUUUAUCGAAGUAAUUUGCAAAGCAAGACAACAAGAAGGCACGGCGGCAAGCUGCGCACAGAAACAACAAAUGCUAUGGUAUAUGCUGAAGAGGUUCCAAAGCAAGCGCUUAAAGCCGUGCGCCGGUCGUCGUCGUCAUCGGAAAGGAGUGGCAGCACUUUUUGAAGGCGUCCAUGGUGCGUCUAAACAGAGGCACGUAAGCGUCAACACUCCCAUCUCCCUGGAACGACCUCAAGACGUAAAUGGCGCCGGCAACCGGCGCAUGACCGUAGCCGGGCCUGAAGUAGAACGGCGGCCCACAGCCGAAGUUCAGCUUGUGGAACGGUAUCGCUAGCAGGCAGUCGACGUCGAUGUCCGUGCACAGCGGGACCUCGGCCGCGUCGGCCGUCGGCACCAGCUGCUCCUUCUCCACGGCCCCGGAUCCUGCAAAGUCAACGAACGACCUGAAGUAGGCGUCGUCAAUCCGGGCAACUUCCCGGGAGAUGAGCUCCACGGCGUACCGCAGAGGCCGGUCCAGCAGCUCUCGAACCGUGGUCGCCGGCCACGCCCACAGCACGACGCUGCCGGUGUAUCCCUCCGGCACCGGGGGCCGGACCAUCCGCGCGCGGCCGUUCACGGCAAUGCGGAUCCUGGUGGCCUCGCGCCCGUGGAGCCCACGCGCCUCCGUGAUGCACCGCCAGAGGUGCGCCGCCACGCACUGCAACGUGGUAUACUGCCGGGAGGGAGCGCCCUGCGACGCACGCGACUUGAGCUCCGUGAUCCACUCCCGGCUAAAGUGCACCCUGUGCACCACCACAACCUCGUCGUCGGCACGGACGACGGCACCGACACCGUCGCUCGCCGGCGGCCCCUCGCCGCGAGGCUUGACCUUGAACUCGGCGCCGCGGUGCUCGAACUUGACCCGCGAGUCCCGUUCCCGUCGUCGCGCGAAGAGAGACGACGUCCGGUCGUGCACCGGGACAGGGUCGAUGGCGACGCCGCGAGUGGCCUGCCCCCACGCGACCAUGAAGUUCCACAUGCCAGGCCCGUCGGCCACCUUGUGAUGCAUGGUGAAGCCGAGGACGAGGGAUGCGCACCGGAACCGCGUGACCUGGACCAGCAGCAGCUCCUCGACGCCGUCGCAGCUCGGGUAGAGGCGGCUCAGCACCUUGCCCCCCGUACUCAGCAGAGCGACGGUGCUGCCGCCGAACUCGGCGUCGGCCGUCGCCUCCACGAACCGUGCGCCGGCGUCGUUGAGCACGAUGGCAGGGUUGCCGCUGGCCUCCACUCCGAGCCGCCCUGCCCACUCGCGGUACUCGGCCAGCGCUUUGGCGAGCGCCGCCUCAAGGACGGCGUUGGGCGGUGCCGGCGGGUGGAAAGCGUACACGUAAAAGAUGUAUUCAUCGUAGUUCACCUUGUCAAACACGCUGAGCGGGACGACGGCGACCGAGGCGUUGCCAUCACUGUGGCCACCGUAGUCAGGCUCAGGCUUCACGGCCUUGGACGAGUGCACGGUGAUCUCCAUUACAAAUUAAUAGGAAUGCUUUAUUUAUCAUCGACCGCGUUCGGCUAGCUAGCUACGUACAUAUAUAGGUGGCCAAAUGGUGGGUUAUCACUGUUGGAUAAUUUUAAAAAUCGAGAAUGAUGCUAUUACUUCGACGCAAAUAAUUUUUAGCAAUAGAUACUUUUUUUAUAGAGGCGGCCCAAUCAAAACUUGUCUCUGAAAAUCGUACUCUUGUUGGACUGCUUCUAGAAAACGUUUUUUUAGAGAUAACUUGGAUUUAUAACCGCCUCUAAAAACGCUCAUAUCUUUAGAUGCAACUAGAUCUAGAGCCGCCUCUAGAAAUCCAAAAUCGUCGAAUUUCUCAAAUGACCAAUGGCCAUAACCAUGGCUAUAGGUUUUUAAAAGUAAACAUUGCAAUUGAUAACUCCUUUAUUUGAAAUAAUCACGGUCUCAAAAUUUUGUUUUAAGUGCCCACAAUUUGAAAUUCAAAUUUUGAAAUUGUUAGUGUCUGGCCAUAUCUUCGGAUGAUGCCACGACGCCUUUCAAAGACCAUAUAGGAAAAACCGCUGAGGUCCAUGUAGAUGACAUCAUCAUUAAGUGUCGACAUAGUGAUUUGAUCCUCUAGGACUUGGUUAACAUUUUUUGAUAGCCUUCCUUGAAAUUGUCUUAUGCUCAAUCUUGAAAUGUGUUUUCAAAGUAUGCUCAAGCAAGCUACUUGGUUUUUUUUUGUAUCCCACCAAGGAAUCGAGGCUAAUUCAAGGAAUUUCCUAACCAUUGAACUCAUGGGUCAUGCAACAUGCAUCCAAUAACUCCAGCGCUUGACCAAAUUCAUGGAGGUGCUUAGCCAUUUUAUUUCCAAACUUGAGGAGCAGGGGCUUCUCUUCGUUCAGCUACUUCAUGGCUCUAGUCCCUUCUAAUGGACCAUUGAGGCUGAACAAGCUUUGCAAGGCCCCAAUGAAUAUCUUAUAUCACCUAUAGUCAUGGUCGCCUUAGAGCAAGGGGAGCCCCUACUCUUCUACAUCACUACAAAUUUUGACAUAGUUAGCAUGGUCCUUGUCAUUGAGUGCUAGAAAUCUCUAGCCAUAAGGUGUACCCGUGAACACUUAGAGCCCAAUGUAUCUCUAGCCGGAGUACCCAGUGAAUGUGAAUGUAGGGAGCCCCUGACUGCUAGCGGGACCUCACAUAAACACUUGGUACCUUAGACAUCUUAGAGAGCUAACAAUGAAAGACAAGGGCCCUUGGCCACCACUAUACCCUCCUAUGAAUGCUUGGGCCCCAUAUGGACCCUAGAGCCUCUAAUGAAUCUUGGGGGCCCAACCACCAUCAGGUCGUACCAUGAAUACUCAAGGGCUUGGGAUGACCCUAGGGCCCCAAGUGAAUGCCAAGAACCCCAUGAAGAGACCUUUCCAAUAAGUACCUAUUUACAUUAAACAACCUAGCUAGCUAGGGUUACAAGAUAUGCUCCAUUUAAUCUUGUACUUGCUGCAGUUACAAAAAUCCCUUUGGAAGCAACAACUUUUAUUGUCUUGUUGCCUUCUCGCUCCUAGCUAGUUGAACUCCCAACCACAUAAGGAUAAUAAAGUUAUCAUAAGACUUUAAUAGUACCCUAUUUGAAGAAUAAUUAAUUUCAACAUCUAGGAAUGUGUUCACCUGAUAAUUAAGUUCACAUGCGCAAGUGUGUGUCAUUGGUCCUUGCUUAGCUAUGAAUGGUGAAGGGGUUGUCGGUGUGGUUGUAUACGUGGCUAUUGUCUCAUCAUCCAUGACUGGCAGUGAUAGUUUGCAUCACAACCGGGUGUUUAACUUCUAUUCGAAUCCAUGGAUCUUCGUCUUGCCACCCAGUAGUGAUUAGUAGUCACUAUCGGCCUAAGCACACCUAAUAGUGAUGCUUCAGUAGUGAUUGCCUAUUCUGGCGUGGUGAAUGCGAGAUUGUUUGUUACAUGACAAAUGUAUUAAAAUAACAUGACUUAAACAAACAAAAUCAUUAUAAACAAAGUGAGGGAUUGACACUUUACAAAUGAUAUGGAAUUUUAUGUGACUUAAACAAACAGAAAUUGUCAGAUGUAAAACAAUGUGAUGUAAACAAACAAAGGUAAGAUCAUAACUUAUUGAGUGUCAAAAUCUUGCAUCAUCUUAAUGAUGGAAACCUCAGAUGGGAUAAUGUCUAGAUCGAAAGGGUUUUUACACAGAGAGUGAGCCUCCCUUAAAAGCUCACAUUUUUAUUGUGUUUUUCUCACCUAUAAAAUUCAUGAGUAGGUGGUGGUAUAAAUGUGAUGGAAUAUGAUUCUAAUGAUAUAAGAUUGUAAACCUACAAACAACAUGAGGGAUUAGAACUUUAUUAAUAAUGUGAUUGUAGAUAAAUCGGUGGAUGUAAAUUAAAAUAAGGCUAUUUGCAAUGCAGAGUUUCAUUACACUAUUUUUAAGGAUGUCACAUUAAUUUUAUCUAUAAAACCGUGCAUGCUGAGUUUCAUCUAAAUAAAAUUUUCUUACCUCCCAUGAAACUCUCUAUCUCUCCUUAUUAAAUCCGUGCCAUGGCAUCAUAUUUGAUGAUGUGAUGGAAUAUGUAAUAACGAUGAAACUCAAGUAAGAUCGACAUUGGAAAUAGCCUAAUAUGACUUAAGAAAACAAACAAAACUGGUACAAACAACGCAAUGAAUUAAUUAUAAGUUUAUUAAUGGUGUGUGAUUGUAUGUAAAUCGAUAGAUGUAAAUAACGUGAAUAAAAUAAACUUCGGUAGAUAUAAAACAACAUGAAUAAAUAAGCGACAAAAUCGUAACUUUCGGUGUGUUAAAAACUUGUAUACAAAUGCAUGCAACAACAUCUUGCUGAAGACUCAUUGUGUUGCCAGUUGCCACUCAACAGGCCACCCAAACACGUUCGUCAGCUAGCCGUCGGUUGCAGAGAGUAGCAGCACCUCUUGAACGCCUCAAUGGUGGUGCUGAACAGAGGCACGUAGGCAUCCACGCUCCCGUCACCCUCGAAGGACUGCAAGACAUAGAUGAAGCCGUCCACCGGGACGGUACUGUAGCCAGGCACGAAGAAGAACGGCCGGGCACCGCCGAAAUCCAUGUCGUAGAACGGGAUCCCGAGCAGGCUGUCCACCUCGACGUUCGGGCUCAGCGUGAGCUCCAGCGAAUCAGCCGUCGGCACCAGCUGCUCUUUCUCCACGGCGCCGGAGCCGGCGAAGUCGAUGAACGACCUGAAGUAGGCGUCGUCGAUCCGUGCCACUUCCCGGGAUAUGAGCUCCACGGUUUCCCGUAUGUGCUGUCGCCCCAGCUCCCGUGCCGUGGUCGUCGGCCACGCCCAGAGCACGGCGUUGCCAGUGUACCCGACGGGCACCCGUGGAUCCUUCAUCCGCGACCGCCCGUUCACGGCGAUGCGCAUCCUGGUGGUCUGGUUCCCGUCGAGCCCACGCGCCGCUGUGAUGCAUCGCCAGAGGUGUGCCGCCACACACUGCAGGGUGGUGGUGUAGGGUCUCGCCGUCGCGGCAGCACCCUCCGAUGCAGCCGCUUGCGACUGCGACUUCAGCUCCAUGAUCCACUCCUUGCUGAAGUGCACCCUGUGUAUCACCACCUCGUCGCCGGCGUGGGCAGCGCCGUUGCCCCCCGACGCAUCUCCGACGUGAGGCUUGAACUCGUUGCCGCGGUGGUCGAACUUGACCUGCGGCGGAUCCCGCGGUGCGAAGAGAGAUAACCGGUCGUGCCGCUGCUGCACAGGGAUGGAGUCGUCGAUGCGGACGCCGCGAGUGGCCUGGCCCCAUGCGAACAGGAAAGCCCAGAUGGCGUGCCCGUCGGCGACCCUGUGGUGCACGCUGACGCCGACGAUGAUGGAGCCGCACCGGAACCGCGUCACCUGCGCGAGAAGCAGCUCCUUGGCGCCGUCGCAGCUCGGCGGGUACAGGCUCAGCAGGUUGGCACCCGUAGUUAGCUCCAGGACGACGCUGCUGCUGAGCUCGGCGUCGGCCGUCGCCUCGACGUACCGUGCUCCGGCGUCGUUGAGAACGAUCGCGCGGUUGCCGGUGCCGUCCAUGCCGAGCCGCCCCGCCCACUCGCGGUACACGGCCAGCGCCGUGGCCAGCCCAGCCUCGAGGAUGUGGUUGGGCGGCGCUGGCGGGUGGAAGGCGCAUACGCCGGUGAUGUACUCGUCGUAGCUUAUCUUGUCAAACACACUGAGAUGGACGACUUCAACGGAGGCGGCGACAGCGCCACCGUCGCUGCGGUCACCGUAGUUAGGCUUCACAGACCUGGACGAGUGCACGAUGAUCUCCAUUAUCGCGCGGUGAUUUGGCGUUUUUUUUACCUAAACAAGCUUACUCCUGAUCCUAACUUGCGAGGGUAUUUGAAACUUUGGCCAGGCCUUAGAUGGAAAGAACGUGCUUGGCUUUUGAUUUAUUAGCUAGCUCUUCGCCAGUGAGGUGCAGCAAGAAGGAUGAAUACCACAAAUGACACUGAAAUAAAGAAAACCUGAAUUGUCUGACCAUGGAAAAUGGAAUGAUUGGUAUUUUGUCAGUCUAAAUGUUGCCUUGUUAUACUUGUCAGUGUCUAUGAAUUGUGAGUCUAUCCAAGUAUAUAAAAUGUGAAUCUGAUGACAAUUUUGUGGACUCCUUUUGGUGUAAUCGCAAACAUCCAAUUCUCUAUUGAGAAAAAUACCCUUUUCAUAAAAAUGACGUGGCUACAUAAUUAGAUGUAGAUAUAGGUGACACUUUACUUUAUAAUAGCAUAAGUAUUAAGUAAGUUAAUUAUAUGUAAAGGUGAUGUUACUUUAUUUAGAUCACCUUUCAUAAUGCCAUGCUGCAUAGUUUUUGUAUUAUUUUUCAUAAUGGAAAAUAUGUGCAAUUUUUCAGAAAGCAUAAAAGAUUCAAUGACUAUGAUUACCAGUAAUGGUUAGAGUGUAUCGAGUUGAUACCUCAAUGUUUAUGAUUUUUAGAUAGUUUGCAGGACACAUCUUUUUUCUAGAGGUUCUGGUGGUAUUAAUGUGGCGAUAAGAUAUUAAUGUGGCGGUGUGAGAACAUGGCCUUGUUUCCAUAUAUUUACUCAUGUUUCCUAGUGUUUUGGUGUUUUGGUGUUAGAUUAAAUUUCAUGGAUGGGCAUGAACUUCUUGAUUUAAGGUUGGUAAGAAGCAUGCAACAGUGCUGAGGGUGUAGAUGUGAAAGAUCUAACUAACUGAUUGACGAUAAUCUUCUCUAAAAUUAGAGAUAAAUUGACCAUACUUGUCCCUACAACUACAAGUACGGGUUCUCAGCCCUGCUUUUUGUAUUUGUUAUCUUUUUAUAUAUUAUUCAUUAAGUAGGACUUUGUGAGUGUUCAUUCUAUUUCAUUAUCAUAUACAUCAAACUUCUAGAAUCAUGUAUCAAGGUGUGGGAGUCAAAGAGAAGGCCACAUUCUCAGAUCAAGCAUAUACUCGCAGUGUUGAACAGGUAAAUGAAGCCAGUGACAUAUAAUUUUGUAGUCAAAUUGCACAUUCGAGGUUCUAAUAUCGCUACAUUUUGCAUGUUAUAUAUAUCAAACAUUAUCAAAAAAUUGGAUACAUAUAGAUUGAGGCUAUUCAAGGUUGAUUAUAUAUAUACACAAAACCUAGAAUAACUAAUGGCCAGCAACAAAUAAGGGUUCUAUGUUAUAUGGGCAAUGCAUUGGUACCUUAGCGCAAUCACAACUAAAUGAGAUAAAACGGUAUGUGUGCUUCCUAUUUUAUGUAUAUAGCUUAAUUCAACAAAAUACACUACUCGUCGUAGCAAAUUAUUCUUACAAACAUUUAUUAGCUCAUAUCCAAGGCCCCAUUCUUUGAGAUACUUCUUUGCUUUAUCAUAUGAUUCUAGAAGAUCACAUUGAGGGAAUGACAUUGAUAAUAACUUCAAUAAUUAAGUAAAUGUUGUGUUGCUGAUCCUAUAGAAUGAUUUGAUAUGAAGAAAUCUAACUAGAAAGGAGAACCUUGAGUGUAUAGAACUUGGGAAAAGAGCAUGUUUUGCAUCUUCAAGAAAUUCAACAAACUUAGGUUGUUGUCCUCUCCUAUUUCCAUUUUAUGUAGAACAACAAGAAUAUCUAUCAUACCAUCAUCUUUAUUGUCAUGUUCAUUCAAACCUAGCCCACAAAGUUGAUUAGGUUAUUUGCAUCCUCAUGAUAUUUCGCAAUUUCAACAUAAAAUCCUUCUCCAUGGUGAACCCAUCUACUAUAUGUAGUUGACAUCCCAAAGAGAUGCAUAUGGUCAUGCACUUCAUCCUGACUCCAUGAAGAAUGAUUCAAACAUUUAUGCCCUCAUGUAAUCUAUCUCAAGAAAAAGAUAUGAACUAUGCAAUGCUCUCCAUGUAGGUACUAUUGAACUACUUGGCAUGAAUCCACAUUCUAUCCAUCUACUCAAUACAACAACAAAAAUCCUCUAAUUGGCCAUGUUUGAAUGAAAUCUUUCAUUUAUGCCACAACCAAAAAAAUGACAUGAAAAACUAUGAAUUUUAAGCCAUGGGAGAAGACAAUACCUAUUGUUGGGGAUGUUGUUGCUACACGAACCACUACCAUAGCAUAAGUUGCCACCAUAGCACCAACUCGUCAUUAGAGCAAGUAGCCGAUGAAAGCAAUCACUGUAGGCCACUGGAGGAAACCUCCACAAAACCAACUUGAAACCACACUACAUGAACUCCCAUUGGAACUAGGUGGUUGCAUGCUAGCAUGGUGAAAGGGUCAUAUGAAUAAUCAAAGAUCCAAUAAAAAGAUAAGUUCCCAAUUCUAUGCAUACAAAAUCUUGUAGCCCAAUGGUAAGCCAACUUGGUUCUAAACUAGGUAGAUGUCGGGUUUGAUUCCUGUACAUGGUACACCUUUAGCUUUUAUGACAAAGAUUAUUAUGUGAUAGGUGGGGCCUGAAUAGUAAAAUUGUAUAGUUGACCAAAUUUUGAAUCAUCAUUCUCAAAUCAUCAUGAAUAAAUGGAUUUCUAGUAGUGAUAGUGAAGCUCCAACAUAAAGCACACCUUCAUAAUUAGGAGAGACGGUUGGCAACUAGUGAGCAUUAUUGGUUUUUGCAGCACUUAUCAUAGUUAAUGAAAGCCUUUGUGGCCAGUCCAACUCCAUCACUAGUGAACUCUUAGCGAUCGAGGGAGCAUAUCCUUUGUGGAUCUCCUAAAUGGAUCAAGGGUUGCACUUUCUCAAACGACUUAACAAGAUAUAGUGUCAUUUCAUGGGAAUUUGUCCUUCCUUGCUUAAGCUUUACUUACCUCAUUUAUGCUUAUGUUUUCCCAUUACGUUUUCAAGAAUAGCUUAAUUAGUAUAGUCUAUUGGAUUGGUACAUUUUAGUGGCAAUUUUGUGGGGGUAUGUAGAGACACUAGAUAAACUGUUUGUUACUCAUGGAGUUAGAUUUUUAUUUUAUUUAUGUAGUGUGAAAUUUACUUAGAUCUCUAUAGGUUAAAAGCCUUUUAAUGAUGCAAUCCAUCUACUCCACCCUUGAUGGGUUAAAAUACCCUCAAUAUCUAGAUCAUUUCAUGAGGCUUUGUUGGGAGGGUCUUCCUUCAAUUAAGGGGUCCUUUGGUAUGGCUCUAGCAGCGACUCCUGCUAUGGCUCCUUUAGAAGCUAUACUUAACGAUAGUGUAGAAAAAAUAACUUUAUAGUGAAGUUUUUGAGGAGUUGGGGCCAUUUUACACUAUGGAAGGUAGAGUAAUAAUUUGUAGCUUUUUCAGAGGAGCAGGAGCUAGAGCCCUACCAAAUAGGGCUUCAAUAGUAGUAGAAUAUUGAAAGUAGCGUGGAGGGGGUGAAUAGGCUUAACUUGAAAAUUAUCACCACAAACUUCGAAAUAAUGUCAAAUCAACAUUUCGACUGGUGCAUGACGGUUCAACUGCUAUAGAGGCGAGUUGAACCACUCUGAACCAGUCCAACUGCUAUAGUAAAUCUAGGCUUCGAACUACGCAAAAAUACAAUGAGAGAUUCCUUUAGAAAGGGAACACAAGGGAUAAACUAAGUGUGGAUGGUGAGAAAUACAAGAGUCAAUCCACCACAAGAUCCACACAAAGAACAACUCUAUAUGCCUCUCUUGCCAACUACAAAACACAACCAUGAAUCCAAGCAAGAGCACAAGACACAAGAUUUAUCCUGAGAUUCGGCCAUACCACAAAGGUGUCCUACUCCCCAUUGAGGAGCCGAAAAAGGGCCAGGUCUUUUCCAACCCUAAUCCUCCACAACCAGACCACAAAGGUCAAGGGAAAUCUUUCCUCAAAUCGGCUCACAAGAAAGGGUGAUACAAACUUCUUGGGGUAGUCCACAAGUUUGGAGACUCCCAAGCAACCUCAAUUUGUCAAGGAACUCGAAGGUUCCAAGAACAACAAGUUCGCACAAGAGGUGUUUGCAACAAGCUCAAGAGAUGAGAAAGAGAGAGGGGAGAGGAGAACCAAAUCCGAAAGUCACAAGCACAAACCUCACACCAUAGGGGCUCCUUCAAUCGAUCGAUUUGAGAGCGAGAUUGGGUGUGAGAGAUAGAGGAGUGCUUUGUCUCAAGUUAGAUCAGCAAUAAGUGUGGGAGGUGACCAGGGUAAAUGAGGAUAGAGGUAUAAGGUGGUAUUUAUGGAGUCUCCUCAAAAAGAGCUGUUGGGCUGAACUUUUCUACGCGAGGCCAGUUGAACCGCCCCAACCCCCAGUUUAACUUGUUUUGACCUAGUUCAAAACGGGGUAGUUUGACUGUGGUCAAAUGGUCCAGGCCCGAUUCAACCACCUGGUGGUCAAGCUGAAAGUCAGUCUGCCAGUUAAACUGGUAGACAGAAAGUCAGACUGGUCAGCUGAACCUGACACCGGUUGAACCGCCUCUAUGGCCAGUUCAACUGGUUUUGACCAGAUAGGUUUGGAGAGAAAACCCAAGUUGAACUGGCCAUAAGGCAGGUUCAACUGAUUUUGACCAGAGAGUUUUACAAUUGAAGUCAAAUUGAGUUGUCCUGGAGAAAAGCUCAACUCAACUGAAGUCAAGUUAAGUUCAACUGUUCUGAAGACAAGUUAAACUCAACUGAAGUCAAGUUGAACUUUUCUAAAGGAAAGUUCAGCUGCUUUUUAACAGGAAGGAUCUCCGUCUCUCAAACCUAACUUUAGUCGAACCCACAGAGUGUCCAAAGAUUUUGGUUUUCAAAAUAGCUUUUGAAUUUUGAGGCUUGAGCAAUAGCAAACACCAUUAUUUGUGGAAAAACUAAUAAGGAAGAAAUAAAUCCUGCGACUCAAGAAAUAUAGAAAGUUUAGCACGAUCGUCGCACGAAAUCUUUUCAAGACACCGUAUGAUGUAAUUCCUUUGUCCUUGAUACUUCCUUUUUUUCCUUUCUCAAAUAAAGUUAUUACUCCUUUUAUCUUUAUAGAAACUGAAUAUACACUAGAAUCAAAUUUUGUUAGAAACCUUAUUUGUUUUGUCAUUUAAUCACCAAAACCCUAAAUUGGGGUUGAUUGCACUUACUAAUAUCUAUAAUGCAAAAUAAAUAUCAUUUAGGCUCAAAACAUUUAUUAUAAGACAUCUAAGUGGUCUAGACAUGGGCGCACGAUAAUUAUAUUGUACUCCCAUCAUUUUUACAUACAUAUGAUAGUGUUGUUUGUUUGAAUUCUUUUCUUAAUUAUUUAACAUGUGUUCAAAUAGACAAAGAUAAUGCAUGGUUAAAGUACUUUUGAUGACAAAUCUAGCAUAUACUGUUUUCACUCACUAAGUAACUGAAUAAAUGUUGUCGCUCAAAGUUUGUUAAGAAGUCAACAGUGUCAUAUUUAAAAACUACGAGGGUAUUAUAUAUUUUCAACCAAGAGAGAAAACCCAUUGACGGUUGCCAAGUGACUGAAUCCGUUAUAUCCCUUGUUCACUACCAGAAUCUGGCUCUUUGCCGAGUGCAUGGUGCAUUGCCGAGUGCAAUUUAUCAGGCACUCGACUCUCGGCGAAGUAAGACUCUAAGCACAGACCUAGUUUGUCGAGGGCAAAACACUCGACAUAGAAAGACACUCGGCAAAUGAGGCUUUUCCGAUUGUCAAGCUCUUGACGAAACGCGACGCUUGGUAAAGGGCAGUCAUAGUCAGCAGUCGUCUAUAGUUGAUGGUCGUUAGCUUUGUCAAGUGUCAGGCGUUGACACUCCGCAAAAUAUCUUCUUUGCCGAGUGUCACCUGGCAAACACUCGCAAACCUUUAUUUUGUCGUGUGUCUUUUCUUAACACUCGGAAAGUAUAUUUGUUUUUUCUUUUCCCCCAAACUUUUGUGGUGUGUUCCUACAGUAUAUGGACCUACAUGUUCAAUUUUGGCACAAUUAUCAAAUUGUUUGCUAUAACUAUUAGAUUUAGUCCGUUUAAUUCAAUUUCUUUAGAUAAUUCAAAUUUGAACUGCUAGUCACUCGAAAAAUGGAAAACAGUGAAUACAAAAAAUGAUAUUCAUGUUAUUUAACACAAGUUACAAACUAUUUUAGGAACAUACCUGAAUUUUUAAACACCAUGCUCAUGAAACAUAACCACGAACUUGGGAUCCAGUUGUUUUAAAAUAAAACAUAAAAUCAGAAAAUCAUGAAACUUGUCGACAUAUCAUAAUAUCAUAUGUAGAGACUGAUAAAAAAUGACAGUGUUUUGUGAAAGUUGUCACACACUAUGUGUAGAAACACUCGACAAAGAGACUGGCAAAGGGGGCCAUUGUAGCCUUCUUUGGCGAGAUCUAGUCCAACAGGCCUCGUCAAAGAGGGAGCCUUUGCCGAGUGCCUUUUGUAGCACUCGUCAAAGGGACUAUCAAAGGGGUCCACUGGAGACUUCUUUGCCAAGCGCUAGCACAGAAGGCACUCGAUAAAAGAGGGAGCCUAUGCUGAGUAUUAGGGAGGACCCUUGGCAAAGGCUUCGUCACCGUUACUUGGCGCUGCGACGAUGACUUUUCUUUGCGAAGUGUUCGACAAAAAGUACUUGGCAAAAAGCCGUUGUCGAUGUAUAAUUUACCGAGACCUUGUUUUAUGAGAGUUACACUCGAAAAAGAGUUUGACAAGUAUUUUCUAAGCUUUACCAAAUGCUUCCAGCAGUUACCAUCAAAUCCUACGAGCGCAGUAACCAUAUGGAGGAAUGCGACGCUUUCGAAUGGGCUUCACUCUCUAAAGGGAUAUACAGCCAUACAGACCUCACCAAGCGAGACAGACGACAAGACAUUUGCGCCUAUACAAACCUUUUCAAUCAACAUAAAUAGACGACCUGCAAGCUAUAUACUCUAUGAUUGGCAUAUUCAUCCGUUUACUUAGGCCUUGUUCGUUUGUGCCAGAUUGGUGGGUCGGAACGAUUACUAACCGGAUUGCUUCUCUAAUUUAUAUAAACUUUGAUUAAGUGGAACGAUUCCGGGUGCAAUCUGACACAAACGAACAAGGCCUUAGGGGGUGUUUGGUUUAGGAAUCACUUCAUCUAAAAUAAGAUGCUGCAUCAUGACUCAAUUCCUUAAAUUUUAUGGGAUGAUCCUAUUCCUCAUAUUAGUAGUAACUAACUGUAACUAACUAUGAGGAAUAAAGUGUUAAUGGAUCGAAUCAACUCAUUUUAUUUCACAAACCAAACGAAAAAAGAGAAGUUAGAAGAUAAUGGACUAGCUCAUCCUUCAAAUCAAACAUCCUAUUAAUUCAGUCUACACAAAUUGAAUUUGCUUGCCAGUCGUUGCACCCUAGUGUUUGGACUAGCCCCCUCCUGGUAGCCCAUAUAUGGCCAUAUGGUUGUUGUACAUAGGAUCGGUUUUUAAGUUGUGCCUCGAUCCAUUAUGAAAUUAAUUUUCUUAACUUCAUUGUACCAUGGCCUAGACAUAGAUACUUGUAGAAUAGUACAGUUUCAUGCAACCAAUUGUACAAUUAUUUCAUGCCGGCAUAUAAUUGUACCGCAGUGUUUGGACACGAUGCUGAGAGGCGACACGCAAAUCAUUUUUUUCUUGGCGAUACUGCCCAUAUUAUAUAAUCUAAAUAGAUCAGAUUAUAUAAUUCGGAUAUAUUAUAAUCUUAAACAAACAUGCUCUAAGUUAGGACAUAGGUAUAUCCGUGUAUAUAAUUAUAAUGGAAACGAAAAUGAAGCUUGUAUGUGUGAGAUUGAAACCGUACUCCAUAUGGCUUCUCUCUAGAUCGAUUCAUCCAUUUUAUUUAUUACAAGCAUAUUCUUCUCGUCGCAUUGUAUAUCCUAGUGUUUUGGACGCGAACGGAAACAGAACUUUUCUAGUCGUCUUUAUAUGAAGCAUCGUCAUGUCGAUUCGUGGACAGAUCUGCAUGCAUCAGACGAAUGAAUCCGCCCUAGGCCUUGUUCGUUUCCGUCGGAUUGUAACUGGAAUCAUUCCAGCUAAUCAAAGUUUAUAUAAAUUAGAGAAGCAAUCCGGUCAGGAAUCGUUCCGACCCACCAAUCCGGCAGAAACGAACAAGGCCCUAAGGAUAUUGUCAUUUUCCAGCCGGCUAAUUCUUAAAGCAAACCACUCACAAUAAGCUCUAUUUGGCGCAGUUUGCUCACCAGCUUUAUAAGCUAUCUGAAGUUGCGUUGUGUUAAAUAGGACGUUUCCAAACAACUUGGUGCUUAUUCGUUUUCAUCAAAAUCCAUUGGUAGAGAUUUGUGGAUCCAAAUUCAUAACAAGUAAAAAUCUCUACUAAUUUUUUUUCUAAUUCUAUCUAAUAAUUAAUAUGUCAUAGGAAUAACCGAACAAGGCUGAGAUAAAACUGAAAAUAACAGCUUCGCUCAGGUCUCUCCCCUAGGCCCGUCCAUAAUGAAAGCCUUAUGGUUGGUUUUAGUAAUUGAGAUAAUUAGUGAAUAAACCCCUUUGCGAAGUGUACUAUUAGGAUAAAAGUUAAGUAUGUACCAAUAUAAAGAGCAAGGCUUCUAGAUGGAUGAAAGGUGAUCGAUCUAAUUAUAGGAAGCUCUCACUGCAAAAUUAAGAGAAAAACAAAAUUCAAGUUGUAGAGACUUUUUAUAGGCUAUUAAACCCCCAUCUAGCCAUAUAGAUCCUUACAAAUAGUAUCAACUAGAAUAAGAAGCGCCCUCUCGGGCGCUAUAUAGCUUCAAAUAUGCUAACCUUUAGCUAGACUAAGUACAGAAAUAGCACCAGAUAAAACAAACAGGUAGAGGAUUUGACAGUCUAAAUUACUUCCACCCUCUGCAGCCAAAUAUACAUAAUGUCAAAUGACACAUACCUACACUUUCAUGUUUUUAGUGGAUAAGCUAAAGUACAAAGAGAGUUUCACAAUGACAUGGCCACAAGGAUUGUGUUGUAGAUUCUUUUGUGGGAAGGCAUUAUGCUAGGCGCCAUAUUUAGUUUGUUAUGAAGUACUAAAAGUUGGGCAAUAAUUAAGGAGGCUUAUCCUCCCGGGAGAGUUAUCUUAUCCCCUAGAAAAUCUGUAAUAUGGUUAGGCACCUAAGCUAUAAAGGUGGCCUUAGAUUGUACUAGGAGAUCAUCAAAAAGAAGUUGUACCUGUGGGUGCGGCUGCUUGAUCACCCUGGCAGACCUUCCGCCAUCAGGUGACCUAAGUCCCCAGCCGCCACACAGGAUACCCUAUUCCCUGCGCUCUUCCACCCAAUCCACCUUGAUAUCCCACCCUUCGUGGUGCACUCCUCCCCGUCCUACGCAUCGCAGCCGGAUUCACAACAAUUUGGUAUCAGAUUCCAAAGCUGCAGCGACAUCUAUGUCCGGCAGCGACGAAGAUCUUGGGAAGAUGACUGACUCCGAGAAGCUGGACCGUAUUCUGGGACAGUUGGCCACAAUGAACAACCGCCUGGACGCCCACGCUCAAAACCUGUUCAACCGACAGGAUCGCCGCUGGCGCCACCUCUGGCCGCGAUGACCCUGUCCACAGGUCCUGCCCUAGAGAGUCACGCAGGUGCAGAGCACACCAGUUCUGGCGCUGGCGGAUUCGCCGGUGGUCGCCGAGCCCCACUGCACAGCGGUCACCACGAUCGCUAUGAAGACAGCGGACCACGGCGACCAAAUUUUACCUUCCCCCACUUUGACGGUGAAGCUGACCCCUUGCCUUGGAUCAACAAAUGCGACACAAAUUUUCGCGGCAUGGGCGUUCAUCAAGAUGAGCGGGUUUGGCAAGCAUCCUUGCACUUGGAAGGCGUCGCAGCAGAGCGGUUUUAUGCCCUGGAGCGUGACAUUGGUGGUGUACUCACUUGGUCAAGGUUUAUAGAAUUCCUCCAGAUGCGUUUUGGGCCACCACUCCGUUUCAACGGCAUGGCUGACUUGAAAGCAUUGCAGCGCACCGGCAACGUCGAAGACUACACUCGGCAGUUCUUAACAAUCCUGUGUCGCUGUGAUGACAUGACUCAUCGGCAGCAGACCAACAUGUACACAGUAGGAUUGGGGGAGCCCCUACGCACUAAUGUGGAGAUGGAAAUGCCAGAGACACUUCAACGGGCAAUGCAUCUGGCCCGAGUGUAUGAGCGGCGUCUGCUACUAUCUACCAACCCCAGCACCACCUCAUAUCAGGCACCAGCAGCACCAUCCAAAUCCUCAACACCUGCACCAGCACGGUCGACAUCAUCUGCCUCCAGCAGGCCCCGCUUCCGAUGUCUAUCUCCUGAGGAGAUCGCUGCCAAGCGAGCCAAUGGCGAAUGCUACCAUUGCAAAGAGAAGUAUUCUCCUGACCACAAGUGUUCUGGUCGCGGCGUGUUCCUGCUAGAAUUGGAGGAAGAUGACACUACCACAGAGACUGGUUCACCAGAAGACUUGGGUAUCUCGCUGCAGGCUAUGACCGGAAUAGAAGUCGCUGACACUCUCAGACUCCCGGUCACCAUCAAUGGCAUCACACUCACUGCAUUGGUUGAUUCAGGUUCCACCCACACGUUUCUUUGUGACGCUGCAGUGUCGCGCCUGGGCUUACAAGUGGUUCCUCAACUCGGUCUCUCAGUAAAAGUGGCCAAUGGCGAGCGCAUAUCCAGCAAGGGCAGGGUCACUACCACACUCACCAUCGGCACUGAGGAUUUCCCCACAACAUGCUACUCCUUACCAUUGGAUGGCUUCGAUCUAGUUCUGGGGGUUGAGUGGUUGUGGUCUUUAGGACCUGUCAUAUGUAAUUUUGAUAACCACACUAUGGCAUUCUGGCGCCAAGGACGGCUGAUCCGCUUGACAGGCAUGGGGGACCCGAUUCUCUGCAGCACAGCUGUUGACAAAAGCCGAGAAUGCAUGGACGAACUUCUACAAUCCUUUGCUGCUUUGUUUGAAGAACCACACGGUCUGCCGCCUUCGCGUCGCCAUGAUCAUCAUAUUCGGCUACUGUCUGGAACAGAACCGGUGGCAGUGCGACCAUACAGAUACCCCCAACUCCUAAAGGAUGAAAUCGAGAGGCAGUGUGACCAAAUGUUGCAGCAGGGGAUCAUUCGUGAGUGCACAUCAGCAUUUUCAUCGCCCGUCUUGUUGGUGAAGAAGGCAGACAAUACAUGGUAAGAAGUACAUUAUGCAAGGGAUUCUUUUGUGGGAAGGCAUUAUGCUAGGCGCCAGAUUUAGUUUGUUAAGAAGUACUAAAAGUUAGGUAAUAAUUAAGGAGGCUUAUCCUCCCGGGAGAGUUAUCUUAUCCCCUAGAAAAUCUGUAAUAUGGUUAGGCACCUAAGCUAUAAAGGUGGCCUUAGAUUGUACUAGGAGAUCAUCAAAAAGAAGUUGUACCUGUGGGUGCGGCUGCUUGAUCACCCUGGCAGACCUUCCGCCAUCAGGUGACCUAAGUCCCCAGCCGCCACACAGGAUACCCUAUUCCCUGCGCUCUUCCACCCAAUCCACCUUGAUAUCCCACCCUUCGUGGUGCACUCCUCCCCGUCCUACGCAUCGCAGCCGGAUUCACAACAGAUUGCCACAGAAACAAGCAGAACAACAUAAUUUGAAGAACCAGGUAUUAUUUUAGACACUUGUAAUUAACGUUGGAUGCAGUUUGGACAUUCUACAAAUCACCUAUUCAGGAACUAUCAUGGACAACUGAGUACAUAGGAACAGCUAACCCACAAAGUCCACCAUUAUACUAAGCCAAGAUUAGAAGAUGAAAUGGGAAUGGCUCUGGAGUUUGUAAGUGAUGUUCUGUUCCCAGGUGCAAUGAAAAUUUCACAUUACCUAGUCCAUCAGCCUAAUAAUAAGAAAAUGAAUUCUAGAGUUGCUUGAUGCCAAACUUUCUAGGAGCAUAUGAGUACAGCUCAUAGAAGCUUAAAUUAGGAGCAACCAUAACAGUUGUGCUAAAGUUUUCCUGACAGAUUCUGCAAGAAGCUUCGCUAAUAUGAUUCUUCAUGUCACUGGAUAAAAGAGAGAAAUCAAGUCAAAUAUUCUGAAUGCAAUAACAAAUCCAGCUGGGAAAGUGGUACUCACAUUCGGCCCUCAACACUACUCACAUGACUGCAAAAUGGGCAUGAAAAGACUGUGUCAAGCUUGUCCAUCCGCUUCUUAGGAGGUGGCUUAGCAGUUCACUUUCUCUUCCCCAUGCAUGGUUCAACUUCUUUUCUUCCUUAAAAACAACUCAAGCCAGAGUGAAUAAGCAUCCUAAUCAACCGUAAGAUGUACACUUAUACACAUUUUUAUGUUGUUGGUUUCACCAAACAUGGCUUUGGUAAUUAAAAAGAAGAAAGGUAUAAAGCACAUGGAUCUUUACCUUUUGUGGUUAGAAGAAUAACGUUUAUUAUUCGUUUGAAUAAUAGCUAUAGGGAACCAUCUAAUUUAUCCUAAACUCUAAACCAUAAAUUCUAAAACCCUAAAACCCUAAACACUAAAUCCCUAUAGGGAACGAUCUAAUUUACUCUCUGUUAGUAGGAUAAGAAAUCAACUGUACUAUUUGUGGUCAAUAUAACAUACAAAUAUAUUACAGCCUAAUUAAAAUCACAUAGAUCUUGACCUUUUGUGGGUACAGGAAUAAAGUUUAUUAUUUGUUGUUAUAAAGGGAGGAUCUAAUUUAUUAUCUGUUAGUAGGAUAAUAAAUCAACUGUACUCUUUAUGGUCAAUAUAACAUACGAAUAUAUUAUAGCCUAAUUAAUUAAGAUCCAUUUGUUUGUUAUUUUUGGAUGAGCCUCAGGGGUAGCAAAGCUGCACAACAUGACUGAUUUGGAUCGGAGCAGAGAAUAUCUGAUUUACUAUUCUCCACAAAAUAAAUUAUGGCAUGGUGGUGGAAGAGAGUGAAUCAUGUGGUAUCUGUGGUGAUGCCCCUGCCCAGCUAUAGAAAAAUAUGAAAUUCAUAUGUGUAUAAAUAAAAUUUAUGAUUUUAGUACAUGCUUCUUGUUCUCAGUUAUUUUUUGUUCAUCUAAGUCAGUGGCAGACCUAAGGGGGGUCCGGGUGGGCCCUGGCACACCCUAAGCCAGGCCCACCAGGGACCCCACAUGGCCAUCCCGUGUGUGGUUGGGCCGUUCCAACAAUCCAAGAUCUGCCAGUUUCAAUCGUUCGACACGGCUUCCCAGUUCCUGACUUCCUGGCGAGUGCACGGCUGUUCCAACUUCCAGGGUUCCACAGUUCCUGGCGCUGGCGGCUGUAAAUUGGAAAUUCUGGCGAUCUUGCUCGAUCUGGUACUCUGCUCCCGCUGCCGACGGUCGACGCCUACCGCCUGCGGCCCUGCCCUCAACAGCGCUCGCACGGAAACAGAGGUGCCCUUCCCCGCGUACAACCGUACAGUACAGGUGCGCAGAAACAUCACGGCCCCUGCUGUUGAUUUUUGUCUUAUUGAUUAUUGAUUCACUACCAUUAUUUUUGUAGUGACUAAAAUAUGAAGAAGCAGGGAGAUAUUACCUCUCUUUUUCGCAAUCAUGCAACAAAGAAACAAAAGUUUAUUGCUUCUUCCAACUCUUUUGCUUCUUUUGAUGCACACAAGGUAUGGAAGCUAGCUGAUUUCUAUCCUAAUGACAUGGCAAUCACUGACUUGUUAAAACUUGACUUGCAACUUGACAAUUAUAUUGAUGGCAUAAGAGAAGAUGAUAGAUUCAAAGACAUAACUAAUCUUGUGGACCUCUCAGUUAAGCUUGUUGAAACAAAGAGACAUAAGGUGUUUGAUAUGAUUUAUUUGCUUCUCAAAUUGGUAUUGAUUUUGCUAGUGGCGACAUCAAGUGUUGAAAGGGCAUUUUCUGCAAUGAGUUUGGUGAAGACUAAAUUGAGAAACAAGAUGUGUGAUAGUCUUUUGGAUGAUUGUCUUGUUACAUACAUCGAGAGGGAUAUUUUCUUUGAAGUGAAUGAAGAAUAUAUAAUUGAAACUUUUAUGGCGUUGAGAAAGCGCAGGCCAGAUAAGUAGUAUUAUUGCAAUCUUUAUGUUUAAUGUAUGCAAUUUUCAUGGUUAUUUGUUGAGUGUUAAACUUUAUAUCUAUAUAUCAAAUUGUUUACCAAAUUUACUAUGAAAUUAUAUGUACAUUAAAUAGAAUUUUACAUGAAAAUUUUGUUGUGGGACACCCUAUGUAAAAAUCCUAGGUCCGGCACUGUCUAAGUGUAAUAUGAAAUUUAUAUGAAGAUCGAGUCUUUGACAAACCACAACAACCGGACACGUAUAUGAUACUGCAGCUCUACAUGUUAUAAGUGGUGCCAUGGAGGGAAUAUACGGUAAAUGAAGUUCUGCUCUCUUGACCAUGUAGUACUUUUUUUCCUUUGAAUAACAGCUAAUAUGCUUAUGAGGAUCAGUAUUAUUUUCUAGGCAACUUUAGAGUAAACUAGUGUGCACAAUGUCAUCCAAGAAAAUACAGUUUUUUUUACUAGUGUUCCCAGCUUGCCUCAUUUAGAAAAAGGAAAUCGCAUGCAUGAGCAGCUUUUAUUCAUAUAUAUCAUAUGAUUAUGCAUGACACAAAACCAUGCUGAAAUGAUAAGGUUUUGGCAUUGUGGGUCCACAGACUGAAACAACCGAGUUAGCAACUCUGGUUGAAUUCAAUAGAAUACAGACUGCAUUAGCAGAUAGCUUCGUUGACAAAAGAGAAAGCAGAGAAGGAAAACAAAAAGUUGGGAAACAAAAAAGCUAAAAUGUAUGAUUUAGUGGCUGCAUAGUGGUUCUUGAGGUACUCUUUGUCUUUUUUCUCGAACGACGCAAGAGAGAUGCGUGUCAUUUCAUUAAGAAAGAAAAGAAAACCACGAGAAAGACCAAGAGGUCUUCCCCAAGUAUAGAUCAAAACACUAGGACUAGCCAGAAUAAACAAAAAAAAGACAAAAUAGAGCAGCAGACCAGACUCCCUAGCACCUAACUAGUUAAGUUUGAAGCCUUGUCAGGAGCUGCUGCAAUUCAGUAACCCCAGCCAUACACCAAAAAUGACACUCGUCCCAUAUUUUAUGCAGGAGAAGCUAGACAACUACCUUAGAUCCUUCAAACACAGGAAUUCCUAAACUUCCAAAUCUCCGAGGCUACCAAAAUGAUCAGCGUAUUGAGUCUUUUUCUAGCCUCCUUCUGCACUCUCUUGACCGACCGUGUCCACCAGAUAAAGAACAUAGUGUCCUCAACCGUAGGCGUAAUGGCAGCCAGGCCCAAGGGCUGAAAAAUGGAAAACCAGAUUUGCUUGGAAAAAAUACAACAUAUCAAGAUAUGUUGAAUAGUCUCAGUUGCUUGAUCACUAGGAGCACCUAAAGGGGGGUGAAUAAGUAUUCCUGUAAACAAUUAACUCAACAAGACAAACUUGGACUAAUAUUAGAUUAGUGAAAGCGAAAGCCUAGUCCGAAUGAAGAGGAUGAGAGGAGAUAACUUCUCCACUUAAUUGCUCUCAUAAAGUGACUAUUAAACUUGGAGCAAUUUUGAAGUGAAGUGAACUAUUAGAAAGAGUAGAAUCGCUAUAAAGUAAAGAGACAGUUGACACGACGAUUUUAUCCCGUGGUUCGGUCAAGCGCAAAAUGUUUGCCUAAUCCACGUUGUUGUGUUACAAUGGACGAGGGUUGCACUCAACCCCUCUCAAGCGAUCCACUGAUCAACUUGAGUACCAUGGUUCUCUUUCUUAUCUCAACUUUUUCUCGUUGUGAGGAAUCUCCACAAUUUGGAGUCUCUCACGCCUUACACAAUAUGAUCUCAAAUGAACUCAAGAGUAAGGGGGAGUAGAAAUACACACAAGAGACAAAGUUACAACAACGCACACACACAAGUCGAGAGAAGAGCACAAGAGACAACGCAUCGGAGUUAGAACUUAAAACAAGUGCUCGAAUCUCAAUCUAUCAAAGUAAUAGUGUGGUCGUAGUGUCUCAGUGUCUUAGGAUGUUCAAAGGAUGCUUGGUGUCAUGCUCCAUGCUCCUAGGGGUCCCUUUUAUAGCCCCAAGGGAUCUAGGAGCCAUUGGAGCUCCAUUCGGUAGGCUUUGGUUGCCUUCUGUCCGCGGGUGCACCAGUGUAAACUCAGAUUCUAUCUCAUCUUGACAGAUUCUAUCUUACCUUAUGCAGACAGAAGAGGAUUCAUAUCUAUCUCAUCUUGACAGAUUCUAUUUUACCUUUGGAUAUUCACCUUAUACGCCUAGUUAUCCCAAUAUUGACAUAAAAUAAUAGAUCAAAGCCCUGCCUAAGAAUCUUUAGUUUCUGGCCAGCUACUAGCCUAUUCGUUUGCCUACUAAAUAAUUUCUCUUGCAAAACUAUCUUACGAUAUAUUUCUAACCAAGAUGCUCAAUACCAGGAAGGGAGGCGGUAUUGAAAGGGAAAUGUGCCCUUGGGCCAUUUCUAAAUAUUUUGGUGAUUUAAUGUCCAACACAAGUGCCUAAGUGUAAAAUGGUGGACAAAGUACAAAUCAAGGAUAAAGGUAUGUUUCUCAGACUUAGUACAUUGUUUUAGAGACUAAUGUAUUGUGUCUAAGUGCUGGAAACAGGUAAAAUCGAAUUGGAAAUGAGAUGGUUUUGUUCAGCCAAAGUCUGCUCAGUCUGGGAGCACCAGAUUGUCCGGUGGUGCACCGGACAAUGUCCGGUGGUGCACCGGACAAUGUCCGGUGUGCCAGGCUGGCUCGAGCAAACUGGCGGCUCUCGGGAAUUCACCGGCGACGCACAACUAUAAUUCACCGGACUGUCCGGUGUGCACCGGACUGUCCGGUGAGCCAACGGUCGGUCGGGCCAACGGUCGGCCGCGCGAUCUGCGCGGGACACAUGGCUGAGCCAACGGCUAGAAGGGGGCACCGGACUGUCCGGUGUGCACCGGACAUGUCCGGUGCGCCAACGGCUCUCUGGCUGCCAACGGUUGGCUUCGCCGUAGAAGGAAAGAAAUCGGGCACCGGACACUGUCCGGUGUGCACCGGACUGUCCGGUGCGCCAGACGACAGAAGGCAAGAAUUGCCUUCCCAGAUUGCUCUCAACGGCUCCUAGCUGCCUUGGGGCUAUAAAAGGGACCCCUAGGCGCAUGGAGAAGGACAACCAAGCAUUCCUAGAGCACUCUUGAUCACUCACACUCCAUUCCUGCGCACUUGUUCGACAUUCUAGUGAUUUGAGCUCCGUUCUAGUGUGCUAGUCUCUUGAGCUCAAGUCUGGGUCUUGUGUGUGCGUAUUUGCUGUGAUCUUUGUGUCUUGUGUGAGUUGCUAAUCCCUCCCUUGCUCCGUGCUUCCUUGUGAACUUCAAGUGUAAGGGCGAGAGGCUCCAAGUUGUGGAGAUUCCUCGCAAACGGGAUUAAGAAAAGCAAAGCAAAACACCGUGGUAUUCAAGUAGGUCUUUGGACCACUUGAGAGGGGUUGAUUGCAACCCUCGUCCGUUGGGACGCCACAACGUGGAGUAGGCAAGCGUUGGUCUUGGCCGAACCACGGGAUAACCACCGUGCCAUCUCUGUGAUUGAUCUCUUGUGGUUAUUGUGUUUUGUUGAGACUCCUCUCUAGCCACUUGGUGAUUAUUGUGCUAACACUUAACCAAGUUUUGUGGCUUAAGUUUUAAGUUUUACAGGAUCACCUAUUCACCCCCCCUCUAGGUGCUCUCAAUUGGUAUCAAAGCCGUUCUCUUCAAGAAGGGACUAAUCGCCCGAAGAGAUGGAUCCUAAGGGUAAGGGGACGGUGGUCAACAACAAUGAGAAGGAGUCUAUCUUCAACGAGCCGAAGGAUGACAAGCCUACCGACUCGGGCUCGGGCCACAAGCGCAAAGACGGGAAGAAGAAGAAGACAAGGCGCAUCAAGGAGAUCGUCUACUACGACAGCGACGAAUCUUCCUCUUCUCAAAAGGACGACAACGACUACGAGAAAAAGAAAAUGGUCAAUUCGAACUUUUGUUUUGAUUACUCUCGUAUUCCUCAAAGUACAAAUGCUCAUUUAUUAUCUAUUCCACUUGGCAAACCUCCUUAUUUUGAUGGAGUGGACUACGGAUUUUGGAGUCACAAAAUGCGUAGUCACUUGUUCUCUCUCCAUCCUAGUAUAUGGGAGAUUGUAGAGAAUGGAAUGCACUUUGAUACUACGGAUAGUCCCAUAUUCAUUAAUGAGCAAAUUCAUAAAAAUGCACAAGCUACUACUGUUCUUCUAGCUUCAUUGUGCAGGGAUGAAUACCACAAAGUGAGCGGCUUGGAUAACGCCAAGCAAAUUUGGGACACCCUCAAGAUCUCUCAUGAGGGGAAUGACGUCACAAUGCUCACCAAAAUGGAGUUGGUGGAGGGCGAACUCGGGAGAUUCGCUAUGAUAAGGGGAGAAGAGCCAACCCAAACGUACAACCGGCUCAAGACCCUUGUCAACAAGAUAAGAAGCUAUGGAAGCACGCGAUGGACGGACCACGACGUCGUCCGCCUAAUGCUAAGGUCCUUUACUGUCCUUGAUCCUCAUCUUGUAAACAAUAUUCGUGAGAAUCCUAGGUACACCAAGAUGACGCCCGAAGAGAUACUUGGAAAGUUCGUGAGCGGGCGAAUGAUGAUCAAGGAAGCAAGAUGCGUGGACGACACAUUGAAUGGUCCAAUCAAUGAGCCUCAACCUCUUGCUCUCAAGGCAACAAGAAGCAAGGAGACGCUACCUAGCAAGGUGGCACAAAUUGAGGCGGCCAGACUUAACGAUGAAGAGAUGGCUCUCAUCAUCAAGAGAUUCAAGACGGCGCUAAAAGGUCGCAAGGGGCAGCCAAGCAAGACCAAGACAAAGGGGAAGCGCUCAUGCUUCAAAUGUGGUAAGCUUGGUCAUUUUAUUGCUAACUGUCCCGACAAUGAUAGUGAUCAGGAUCAAGGGAACAAGAGGGAGAAGAAGAAGAACUAUAAGAAGGCAAAGGGCGAGGCGCAUCUAGGCAAGGAGUGGGAUUCGGAUUGCUCCUCUUCCGACUCCGACAAUGAAGGACUCGCCGCCACCGCCUUCAACAAGUCAUCCCUCUUCCCCAACGAGCGUCACACAUGCCUUAUGGCAAGGGAGAAGAAGGUAUGUACUCGAAACUCUACUUAUGCUUCUUCAAGUGAGGACGAAUCUAGUGAUGAGGAUGAAAUAGAUUAUUCAUGUUUAUUUAAGGGCCUAGAUAGAACCAAGGUAGAUAAAAUUAAUGAGUUGAUUGAUGCCUUGAAUGAUAAGAAUAGGCUUUUAGAAAAGCAAGAGGAUUUGUUGUAUGAAGAACAUGACAAAUUUGUAGAAGCACAAAAAUCUCAUGCUCUAGAAGUUAAAAGAAAUGAAAUGCUUUCUUGUGAAUUAUCUUCUUGCCAUGAGACAAUUUCUAACUUAAGGAACAUUAAUGAUGAUUUGAAUGCUAAGUUAGAAAUAGCUAGUAAAUCAACAUCUUGUGUAGAAAUAGUUGCAUCUUGUAAUAGGUGUAAAGAUUUUGACAUUGAUGCUUGUAGUGAACACCUAGUUUCAAUUUCCAAACUUAAUGAUGAAUUGGCUAGUCUUAAUGCUCAACUUAAGACUAGCAAGAGCGAAUUUGAUAAGCUAAAAUUUGCGAGGGAUGCCUACACGAUUGGUAGACACCCCUCAAUUAAGGAUGGACUUGGCUUCAAGAGGGAAGCCAAGAACUUAACAAGCCAUAAGGUUCCCAUCCCCGCCAAGGAGAAAGGGAAGGCUCCUAUGGCAAGUAGUACUAAAAAGAACCAUGCUUUUAUGUAUCAUAAUAGGAGACAUGCUAGAAAUGACUAUAGAAGUUAUGAUUCACAUGCUUAUGAUUCACAUGCUAUGUUUGCUUCUAGUUCCUCUUAUAUGCAUGAUAGAGAUAUGUCUAGGAGAUAUGUUCAUCAUGUGCCUACAAAGAAUAUUGUUCGUGUUUCUAGGAAAGUUAUGGAUGGUACUUCUACAAUAUAUCAUGUUUUAAAUGCUUCCUUUGCUAUUUGUAGAAAGGAUAGGAAGAUAGUUGCUAGAAAAUUAGGGGCAAAAUGCAAGGGAGACAAAACUUGCAUUUGGGUCCCUAAGGAUAUUUGUGCUAACCUUGUAGGACCCAACAUGAGUUGGGUACCUAAGUCCCAAGCCUAAAUUUUCCUUACAGGUUUAUGCAUCCGGGAGUUCAAGCUGGAUUAUUGACAACGGAUACACAAACCAUAUGACGGGGAGAAGAAGAUGUUCACCUCCUACGUCAAAAACAAGGAUUCCCAAGAUUCAAUCAUAUUUGGUGAUGGGAACCAAGGCAAGGUGAAAGGCUUAAGCAAGAUUGCAAUUUCAAAUGAGCACUCUAUCUCUAAUGUGUUUUUAGUUGAGUCCCUUGGAUAUAAUUUGCUAUCUGUUAGUCAAUUAUGUAAUAUGGGAUAUAAUUGUCUAUUUACAAAUGUAGAUGUGUCUGUCUUUAGAAGAAGUGAUGGUUCAUUAGCUUUUAAGGGUACAUUAGACGACAAACUUUAUUUAGUUGAUUUUGCAAAAGAGGAGGCCGGUCUAGAUGCAUGCUUAAUAGCUAAGACUAAAAUGGGCUGGCUGUGGCAUCGCCGCUUAGCACAUGUGGGGAUGAAGAACCUUCACAAGCUUUUAAAGGGAGAACAUGUGAUAGGUUUAACUAACGUGCAAUUCGAAAAAGAUAGACCUUGUGCAGCAUGUCAAGCAGGUAAACAGGUGGGAGGAGCACAUCACAGCAAGAAUGUGAUGACCACAUCAAGGCCCCUGGAGCUGCUACAUAUGGACCUUUUUGGACCCAUCGCCUAUCUAAGCAUAGGAGGAAGUAAGUAUGGUCUAGUUAUUGUUGAUGACUUUUCCCGCUUCACUUGGGUGUUCUUUUUGCAGGAUAAGUCUGAAACCCAAGGGACCCUCAAGCGCUUCCUAAGGAGAGCUCAAAACGAGUUUGAGCUCAAAGUGAAGAAGAUAAGGAGCGACAAUGGGUCCGAGUUCAAGAACCUACAAGUGGAGGAGUACCUUGAGGAGGAAGGGAUCAAGCACGAGUUCUCCGCUCCCUACACACCACAGCAAAAUGGUGUAGUAGAGAGGAAGAAGAUGACGCUUAUCGAUAUGGCGAGGACGAUGCUUGGAGAGUUCAAGACCCCCGAGCGCUUUUGGUCGGAAGCCGUGAACACGGCUUGCCACGCCAUCAACCGGGUUUACCUUCACCGCCUCCUCAAGAAGACUUCGUAUGAGCUUCUAACCGGUAACAAACCCAAUGUGUAUUACUUUCGUGUAUUUGGGAGCAAGUGCUACAUUCUAGUGAAGAAGGGUAGAAAUUCUAAGUUUGCUCCCAAAGCCGUAGAAGGGUUUUUGUUAGGUUAUGAUUCAAAUACAAAGGCGUAUAGGGUCUUCGACAAAUCAUCGGGUUUAGUUGAAGUCUCUAGCGACGUUGUAUUUGAUGAGACUAAUGACUCUCCAAGAGAGCAAGUUGUUGAUCUUGAUGAUGUAGAUGAAGAAGAUGUUCCGACGGCCGCUAUACGAACCAUGGCGAUUGGUGAUGUACGACCACAGGAACAAAAGGAGCAAGAUCAACCUUCUUCCUCAACUAUGGUGCAUCCCCCAACUCAAGACGAUGAACAGGUUCAUCAACAGGAGGCGUGUGAUCAAGGGGGAGCACAAGAUGAUCAUAUGAUGGAAGAAGAAGCGCAACCGGCACCUCCAACCCAAGUUCGAGCAAUGAUUCAAAGGGAUCAUCCCGUCGAUCAAAUUCUGGGUGAUAUUAGCAAGGGAGUAACUACUCGAUCUCGAUUAGUUAAUUUUUGUGAGCAUUACUCUUUUGUCUCUUCUAUUGAGCCUUUCAGGGUAGAAGAGGCCUUGCUAGAUCCGGACUGGGUGUUGGCCAUGCAAGAGGAGCUCAACAACUUCAAGAGGAAUGAAGUUUGGACGCUGGUGCCUCGUCCUAACCAAAAUGUUGUGGGAACCAAGUGGGUGUUCCGCAACAAACAAGACGAGCACGGAGUGGUGACAAGGAACAAGGCUCGACUUGUGGCAAAAGGUUAUGCCCAAGUCGCAGGUUUGGACUUUGAGGAGACUUUUGCUCCUGUGUCUAGGCUAGAGUCCAUUCGUAUUUUGCUAGCAUAUGCCGCUCACCAUUCUUUCAGGUUGUUCCAAAUGGAUGUGAAGAGCGCUUUCCUCAACGGGCCAAUCAAGGAGGAGGUGUACGUGGAGCAACCCCCUGGCUUCGAGGAUGAACGGUACCCCGACCAUGUGUGUAAGCUCUCUAAGGCGCUCUAUGGACUUAAACAAGCCCCAAGAGCAUGGUAUGAAUGCCUUAGAGAUUUCUUAAUUGCUAAUGCUUUCAAGGUUGGGAAAGCCGAUCCAACUCUUUUCACUAAGACAUGUGAUGGUGAUUUGUUUGUGUGCCAAAUUUAUGUCGAUGACAUAAUAUUUGGUUCUACUAACCAAAAGUCUUGUGAAGAGUUUAGCAGGGUGAUGACGCAAAAAUUCGAGAUGUCGAUGAUGGGCGAGUUGAACUAUUUCCUUGGGUUCCAAAUGAAGCAACUCAAGGACGACACCUUCAUCUCCCAAACGAAGUACACGCAAGACUUGCUAAAGCGGUUUGGGAUGAAGGACGCCAAGCCCGCAAAGACUCCGAUGGGGACCGACGGACACACCGACCUCAACAAAGGAGGUAAGUCCGUUGAUCAAAAAGCAUACCGGUCUAUGAUAGGGUCUUUACUUUACUUAUGUGCUAGUAGACCGGAUAUUAUGCUGAGUGUAUGCAUGUGUGCUAGAUUUCAAUCUGAUCCAAGGGAGUGCCACUUAGUGGCGGUGAAGCGAAUUCUUAGAUAUUUAGUCGCUACGCCUUGUUUCGGGAUCUGGUAUCCAAAGGGGUCUACCUUUGACUUGAUUGGAUAUUCAGAUUCCGACUAUGCUGGAUGUAAGGUCGAUAGGAAGAGUACAUCGGGGACGUGCCAAUUCUUAGGAAGGUCCCUGGUGUCAUGGAACUCUAAGAAACAAACUUCCGUUGCCCUAUCCACCGCUGAGGCCGAGUAUGUUGCCGCAGGACAGUGUUGCGCGCAACUACUUUGGAUGAGGCAAACCCUCAGGGACUUUGGCUACAAUCUGAGCAAAGUCCCACUCCUAUGUGAUAAUGAGAGUGCUAUCCGCAUGGCGGAAAAUCCUGUUGAACACAGCCGCACAAAGCACAUUGACAUCCGGCAUCACUUUUUGAGAGACCACCAGCAAAAGGGGGAUAUCGAAGUGUUCCAUGUUAGCUCCGAGAACCAGCUAGCCGAUAUCUUUACCAAGCCUCUAGAUGAGCAGAUCUUUUGCAGGUUGCGUAGUGAGCUAAAUGUCUUAGAUUCGCGAAACCUGGAUUGAAUUAUAGCAUACAUGUGUUUAUACCCUUGAUCAUUUUCCUUAUGCAUUUCGUUGCUUACUUAUGGUGCUCAAGUUGUACAAACACUCCCCGGACCUCACAAGUCCUUUUUGCAAGUGAUGCACAUAUUUAGGGGGAGCUGUGCUACAACUUGACCCUUUGAGACUAACCAUGUGCUUGAGUUUGCUUGUUUUAGUCUCAAAGGAGGUUUGAAAGGGAAAAGGUGGACUUGGACCAUGAAAGACUUCCACUGCACUCCGAUGAGAGGGUAACUAAUUCCAAGUUCAUCUCAUGUACUCUUAUUGCCUUUGUAUUCUUAUUGAAGAUUUUGGUGAGGCAAUGGGGUUCUAGGGCCAAGAUUAAUCCCGUUUUGGUGCUUGAUGCCAAAGGGGGAGAAAAUAAAGGCCAAAGCAAUAAAUAGAUCAGCUACCACUUGAGAGAUUUUGAAAAUAGUAGAAUAGAGCUUUUGGUUUGUCAAAACUCUUUUAUUGUCUCUCUUGUCAAAAGUUGGCUUCUUGUGGGGAGAAAUGUUGAUUAUGGGAAAAGGGGAGUUUUUGAAAUCUUGAAUCAAUUUCUCUUGGAAUGACUCUCUUAUAUGUCCUAACAUGUGUGUUUGACUUAGAGAUAGAAAUUUGAGUUUGAUUUGCAAAAAAACAAACCAAGUGGUGGCAAAGAGUGAUCCAUAUAUGUCAAAUUUGAAUCAAAACAAUUUGAGCUCUUAUUUGAAUUGAUUUUGUAGUUGUUCUACUUGCUUUAUAUUGUGUUGGCAUAAAUCACCAAAAAGGGGGAGAUUGAAAGGGAAAUGUGCCCUUGGGCCAUUUCUAAGUAUUUUGGUGAUUUAAUGUCCAACACAAGUGCCUAAGUGUAAAAUGGUGGACAAAGUACAAAUCAAGGAUAAAGGUAUGUUUCUCAGACUUAGUACAUUGUUUUAGAGACUAAUGUAUUGUGUCUAAGUGCUGGAAACAGGUAAAAUCGAAUUGGAAAUGAGAUGGUUUUGUUCAGCCAAAGUCUGCUCAGUCUGGGAGCACCGGAUUGUCCGGUGGUGCACCGGACAGUGUCCGGUGCGCCAGGCUGGCUCGAGCAAACUGGCGGCUCUCGGGAAUUCACCGGCGACGCACGGCUAUAAUUCACCGGACUGUCCGGUGUGCACCGGACUGUCCGGUGAGCCAACGGUCGGCCGGGCCAACGGUCGGCCGCGCGAUCUGCGCGGGACACAUGGCUGAGCCAACGGCUAGAAGGGGGCACCGGACUGUCCGGUGUGCACCGGACAUGUCCGGUGCGCCAACGGCUCUCUGGCUGCCAACGGUUGGCUUCGUCGUAGAAGGAAAGAAAUCGGGCACCGGACACUGUCCGGUGUGCACCGGACUGUCCGGUGCGCCAGACGACAGAAGGCAAGAAUUGCCUUCCCAGAUUGCUCUCAACGGCUCCUAGCUGCCUUGGGGCUAUAAAAGGGACCCCUAGGCGCAUGGAGAAGGACAACCAAGCAUUCCUAGAGCACUCUUGAUCACUCACACUCCAUUCCUGCGCACUUGUUCGACAUUCUAGUGAUUUGAGCUCCGUUCUAGUGUGCUAGUCUCUUGAGCUCAAGUCUGGGUCUUGUGUGUGCGUAUUUGCUGUGAUCUUUGUGUCUUGUGUGAGUUGCUAAUCCCUCCCUUGCUCCGUGCUUCCUUGUGAACUUCAAGUGUAAGGGCGAGAGGCUCCAAGUUGUGGAGAUUCCUCGCAAACGGGAUUAAGAAAAGCAAAGCAAAACACCGUGCUAUUCAAGUAGGUCUUUGGACCACUUGAGAGGGGUUGAUUGCAACCCUCGUCCGUUGGGACGCCACAACGUGGAGUAGGCAAGCGUUGGUCUUGGCCGAACCACGGGAUAACCACCGUGCCAUCUCUGUGAUUGAUCUCUUGUGGUUAUUGUGUUUUGUUGAGACUCCUCUCUAGCCACUUGGUGAUUAUUGUGCUAACACUUAACCAAGUUUUGUGGCUUAAGUUUUAAGUUUUACAGGAUCACCUAUUCACCCCCCCCCCCUCUAGGUGCUCUCAGGUAUUGAUCUACCUGCUAACCACCAUAGCAAGAGGAUUGUUAGACAACCACAACUAGAAAUGAAUCAUCUGAAUCCUCUACCGGCCAGAACAGAUCCAGUGGUUGCCGCUCAGAUGCAGAUACUAUAGCAAAUGGCAAACACGAUGAACGAAAUGCAAACUCAGAUGUGGCAAGAACGCCAGGAAAUGCGUCAAGAACGGUUGGAAAUGCGUCAAGAGAUGAGGCAAGAACGGCCGGAAAGACCGCAACAACCACCACUACCUCCACCACCACCACCACCAGCUCCACCCAGGGAUAAACACCGGGAGUUUAUGAGUCACAAACCACCAACAUUCUCUGACUCCGCAGACCCACUAUAAGCUGAUGGUUUGUUAAAGUUUGUGGACAAGAUGCUCAACAUAGCUCAGUGCUCAGACAGAGAGAAUGUGUUAUUUGCAUCGGGUCGCCUUACCGGCCCCGCUGCGGAUUGGUGGGAUGCAUAUUGCGCUGCCCACACUGCUGUCAACACAAUUACCUCGACAGAAUUCUCCACUUAAUUCAGGAAUUACCAUAUUCCUGCUGGACUCAUGAAGAUUAAAAGGAAGGACUUUCUAUCCCUUAAGAAGGGAGGUAUGUCCGUAAGCGAGUAUAGGGACAAAUUUAUUCAGCUAUCUCGAUAUGCUCCUAGGGAAGUUGAGGAUGAUGAGAAGAAGCAGGAGCUCUUUCUGGAAGGUUUGAUUGGACCGCUAUAAUACCAACUGAUAUCACAUACAUUCUCGUCCUUCCAAAUACUACUGGACAAAGUUAUUGCUGUGGAAAACAAGAGGUUUGAGUUUGGAGAAAAGAGAAGGGAUGCCAACCAGGGACAAACUGGGAGUAGUUCCCGUCCUCGAUAUACUACUACUCAAAGUACACCUGCUCGUGGCAGUUCCGGGCAGGAAACUCAACAGACACAAACUGCUCCUCUGCAAGCAAGCACUCCAACUGGACCUAUUGCUCCUAAUACAUCCACAAGCAGGUCAUGCUUCAAGUGUGGACAGUCUAGACACUAUGCCAACUACUGUCCCAACAGGGCCGCUUACACUACUCUGUCUCCGAUGAAGCAAGGUCAGGCCUCGGGAGGCAAGAGUCAGCCUUUAUCUGUCAACCGGGGGCAGAUCAACCAUGCAGAAGUGGAAGAUGAACCUGGUGAACCUGAAAUAUAUAUAUAUAUACUUUUUUAUUAGAAGUAGUAUUUGUACGAUCCAAAUAAUACAUUAGUUAGAAGUUAGUAUUUUACUAUUUUAGGAGUAAUAAUAAGGUCUCUUUGACCCUAUGCUUUGCUAAUGAGUUAUGCAUCAUGCCAAGAUUUUUGUUUGUGCAUAUGUUUUGAGACAAAAAGAGAUGGGUUCUUUCUCUUCCUAAUCUCGAGGGCGAGAUUUCUGUUAAGGGGGUAGGAUUUGUAAGACCUAAAUUUGAUAGGAAAAAAUAUAUAUCAUAAAAUAAUAAAAUAAAUAAAAAAUAUAUAUAUAAUAGUGUGGUGAGAAUUUUUGAAGACCUUUGAAAAUGUAUUAGGACUCUCCCUCCUCAUAUUCAAACAAUAAUAUUAAAUUAGUUAAGUAACUAAUAAAUAGAUAAAGAAAAGGUUGAUCUCUUGAUGAUGAUGUUGUGGUAAUGCAUUUUAUUGAAAACAUGAAUUUAACCUCAAUUUAUAAAUUAAAAUAUAAAAUAGAAAAUGAAUGAGAAGGAAAGAAGAAAGAAUAUACACUAUAUAAAAAAGAAUAUUCUUAAUGGAAACAGUAGAGUUUAAAUUCCCAUUAGGAUUAUGUUUAAUUUUUGGAAUCUGAAAUUCAAAAUAGAAUUUGAAUUUGGUUUGAAAAGUUGAAAUUGGAAUUUAAAAACAAAGCAGAAAUUUAUAAAAGAAAAGAAAAGAUCAAAUCAGUGUUUGGGCUGCAAUUUCCAUAGCCGGCCCAUCUCCUCCUUUUCCUCCUCUCCACCGCGUAGCCCAGUUUCUCUUUCCCUCGGCCCACCUAAACCCUGCCGCACCAGCCCACAUUCCGCGCGCGCGUGAUGACUCUUGCGGUGGCUUCCAUGCGGGCCCCACCAGCCAGCAUUGCCCAUGCGCGCCGGUGGGGAAAACACACUGUUACUUGUUAAGUAACCCUAGUUAGGGUUAUGUGGGCAAAUACCUGCUUUGCCCCUGAGGGGUCUCACAUCUCUAUAUAAGGAACAUGAACACCCCUCAUAAGAUAGAGAUCAGAAAGAGGACAGAGGCCCAACCCUAUAUCCAGUGUCUCGUGUGUUUCCUCUGUCGUGCUUAUGGGAAGAGAGACGGGUUCGCUACAUCUUCUUACGCCUCUACUGCUGACGGGAGGGAAGGGAGCGGAUCUGGUGAUCCAUGGUAACAUAGUUCUCAACACGUUAUCAGCACGCUCUACCUCGACGUUGCUGCGAGAUCAGAUCUGCAUCAACUCUCCGUCAAGCCGGCAGGUCCUCCGGCCUAGCCGAACUGUCCUAUGCGACAGGCUUCGAUUUUCCCUCUACACAUUCGAGCGGUAUACUUCAAUUAGAUCUAUUGUUCUUGAUCAGUUUGUGUACACGCGCUACGAUCUAUACGCCACGAACUAGCCAUCACCGUCAUGGUGCUACGUUCGCUUUGGGCCUCGCUCGCGCAGGAAGCGCCCGCGUCGGUUGCUCGCGUGGGCCGCACCUACGCCGAGGGUCGUGGCUGGCCUGAACCGUACCUGACCGGAGGGACUACCGACUGCGGCAGCGCCCAGGCAUGUGCCACACUUAAGUGUUGCGCCAGCGCCAGAAGCAACGUAUGCGUCGGGCUGAGACGCGCCGCACGUCGACGGCCUGGCCUCUAGCCUGCUGCUGCGUCGGAGGUAGGUGCGGACUGGCCUGUAGCCUGUAGCCUCCAGCCCUCCACUGCUCCUCCAGGCCCCACCUUGCAUGCAUGGACGAUUGCCCGCGGAAGCUGAUCCAUUUUUCCAGGAAAAGGAAAACGGAUCACAUACUCGCAUGCAGCGUGAAUGUGGCGGUUUCCCCUGCUAUACUUACGGCCAAAUAAAAGGAUCACCAUGCAUGGGCUCGUGUACCUGGUCAAAGCAGUUUUGAGUCAUGUGCCUCGCAUGCAAAUUGAGAUAUGUUUGGCUGAUGGCACAUGGAUGGCACAUGGAUGGCUCAGAUCCAUGCAUGACCUGCAUGCAUCAUCUCGCCCAUUAACAAAAAAAAUAGUUGUAACUAAUGGGAUAAUUUUUUCCCAUAAAUUCCUGUUGCAUUAAUCAACUUUAGUAUUUUUUUGCAUGCUCUAUGUUAUUUAUACUAUUUAUUUCCUGUUGCAAAUAGCAAUAAGAAUAAAAACAUGUUUAAAGUUGCAGUUUAUACAUUAAUUAAUUAUUUCCUGCAGUAAAUAAUUAGUAGAAAAAUACAUGCUUUAAAAUGAGUAAAUACCUUUUGCACUCGAUGUGUCUAUGUUAGUGUAUUAAUUUCAGUAUUAUUUUUCUGCUUUAUUUCCUGUAGUAAAUAGCAGAAAAUUAUUUAAAAUACAUGUAAAGGUUAUACUAUGCAUAAUAAAAUCGCUCUAAAUAUUUGUGUCGCUUUGAUCUUUCGGACCCACGUCGAGCGAUUAAAUUGUAUAAUGGGUACUCAGACACGCCGAUCAGGUUGUGUUGGUAAUCAGCUGAGUUAUGACAUUAGUUGAAUAUUGACUGCGCCCUGGCAACACGACGCAAUAUUUGUGCCGUUCGAACUUGGCUGCGUCAUGUGAUUGCUAUGUCGCGCUCUCCAUUAAUCGGAUCGCUCCUGUUGAGUCAGACCGCCAUCGCUGAGUCACGUAUUUUUCGCAUGCCCUGCAGGCACGGUUCGGCCGCCAUGAUCAGCGAGCCACAAUUGCGACUGUUGCGCACGUAGCGUGGAUUUAUCAUGUACCCCAACUGCGACUAUCGAGCCACAAUUGCGCAUGUUGCGCUUGUUACGUAGGCUUAUUCGUUGUCGUAGCCUUGAUGGCCACACACAUGUUGACGCCAGAUACACUGGAGCUUGUACUCGCGUGGAAUGUGGUGGAUUAUUCGAGCCCCUGAAGUCACAGCAUAGCGCAACCUUCGUAAACAAUGUUGUUUAACUCUAUAUUUUAUUUGAUUGUUUUGUGUGGCAUCAUAUAUUUAUUUAUAUUGGCAAGUGGCCAUAACAACUAUAUCAAGCUCUAUAGUGCUUGAAUAAUCUGGGAAAUUAAAUUGAAAUACAAUGAAACACAGAUAAGUUAAAUCUCUGCUCUCUCCUCGUGCAUAAAGUUUUACCCGAAGUAACCUGAAGAAAUUCAAUAUUAGUGCAUGAAAGCCUUUUUGGCACAGAAAACAUCACAAAUUGGGAUUCUAUUAGUAAGCAAAAGGCCUUACUAAAUAAUUUAAGACUAUAAAUUUCAGCCAUAUAUUGCUCAACCAGUUGUUAGCACAUUGCUCUCUUUGUCGCUAAAUGACAUGAAGCAAACUAUGAGAUAAAAGGACAUGUAAUCGCCAGCAACACGAAGUUGCGAGUAUACCGAGAGGUUAUUCUGAGAAAAUUUUCACUAUGUUGGUGUGAAAACCAUAGUGUGUUCCCGUCGAACCACUUUACUCGUUCUAUUUAGAACCUCUAUGCUUGUGUCGCAUACAUCUCUCGGAAUUGUAAAUACUUAUAGUCACUGAAUUGACUCGGGAUAGUCCUUUGACAAGUUUGGUAUACACUAUAAACUAAAUGGUAAAGGUCGGUCCUGAAUGGACACAUACCUGGGGUUUAUGUAGCCGAACUACACUGAAUUCCACCCUUUGGCAUGCUUACCAUUAUCUACCUCCGAUCUACCAGAAGUGAGAAGAGUAGACAAAUAACUAUGAAAUCCCACAUCACCACAAAGCUUGUAGCUAAAUUAGACAUUAACAUAUUCUUGGUCCUCGAUCCAGAAGAGACAUAUGUCUUGACCACUAGACUACUAGUGAUGAUAAUUUGUGAUAGAAAUAUGAAGAUCUUGUAGAGACCUGUUGUAUCCUCUCUACUCCUGAUGAUUUCUUCGUACGAGAGCAGUACUAUCUGGUGUUGAAGAUGGAUCCUAGGCGGAUACCAGUAUUGUUUCGUUCUUGCCAAGCAGUUAUCAUCAUUUGCUUCAUCAAAAGCUAGUUAUAUGGUGAUUUUCCCAGAUAAAAUGAAUUCUUGGCCUUGUCUGUUCUAUUCCAAAGCUUCUCUUUUUGUCGAACAACGAAGAGAUCGAAAUAAUGCUUUAUAGAACAAAUUGGUAUAUAAUAUGAGGAGAAAUGUUUGUCCUGCUGGCAGCAUCACAAAUUAUUAACUAUUGUUAUAAAUUCUCUCUCAAAAUUAUCAUACCUAAAAAUGUUGCAUAAAUUGAUACCCAAUUUCAGAUCGGUAUGAGUCAUUGGGUAAACCAUGGGCAAUAAUAAAACGAGCUGGACUAUACAUCUCUGCAUAUAAAAAUCUCUGCUUGGCAGCAUUGGCCUGAUGUCAUGCACUUUACUACCAAUAUAAACACACAUUUUCCUAUGUGCCUCAAAGCACAAUGCAACCAGUGGAUGUCUUUGUGAGCGUUAGACCCUGAUGGUCAUUUUACUUGUUGAUCUGAAGUCAACUAAUGGCUCCAAAUGACGAAUGGUAUUCAUGAGCCCCUGAAGAAGCCUUAUGGAUAAAAUAGUGUUGUGCAUGUUAGUCUAAAUCUUAAUGAUUGACUGUGCAUUUGGUAAUAAUAACAAUAAGUUUGCAGAACUGUAACCAUGAAGCAACUUGUUGUUGUGUGUCUCGCUGGAUGUUGAGACUAACCCUUCAUGUGAAGGACAAAUAUGUAGUAUUCAUGCCACUACAUUAAUCUAAGUCCAAAGCUCACUGCAUAAAACCCCUAUCUGUAAUGUGCGUAAGAUUUCCCAAAUAAAUCACCACAAUAGCAUACAUUGGCCACAACUAGAUGAUUGUGGUUGGGGAUUUUAUAUGUAUGCUUUUAGAACAUCUCGGCAUUAGGGGGAGGAAUGCCCAUAUAGUGUAAUGCCUCAAUAUUCUAUUAAACACACAAAAGUCAAACUGAAUAUGUCGUUCGGUGUGUACUCCUGUGUAUAUGGAGUCUGCAGAAAUCGUUGAGGAGUAACCAUAUUGGUUUGAAUGCUUCUACCAGAUGUAGAUGUGGAUAUACCCGGGAUUAAUAUCGUAUCUACAUUUGACUUAUUGGUAUUUGAUCUAUUCUCGGGGACGCCUGCGAAUAUGAUCCAUCAGCCUUAGUCAAAGCAUAUGUUCUGAUUGCAUAUUCACGUGGUCUGUGAUAACUCUCCUUCGAUUAAUUCACCCUGAUGGUGAUUUGCCUCACGAAGAGGUUCAUCUUGAUGACGAAAUUCCUAGCAAUGCGCACAAUAUCAUUGUGCUGGGAAUACGGAACAAUGCAUCUUUCGUUUUAGGAAAUGACGAAGAUCAUUAUUAAAUGUGGGAGACAAAUAUGUCGACACUUAUCUUGCCUCUCUAGAUUGCAAAGGGAUCCAAAACAAAGUCCUAGGCAUGAGUGCUUUAAGCUCUCUUAUCGGGUCAUUGAUAAAUGCAAUCGAGGCUGAACCAAUAAUCGCAAAAUGAAAGUCGCGAGCUUGAAGUUCGGACAUUUAUGGGCACUAUUGAAAUAAUGUGUGGUGAAUGCGAUGGUUCAAGUGGUCUUGUGAGAGACCCAUCCCACGUAUGUGUUGAAUAAACACUGUUCCACUAUGUAAUAUAUCUGGCAAAUGGCAUGAAUUAAAAUAUGCAGUUAAUAGGAUUCUGAAGAUCCGUCAUGAGAUCCUAGGAGGACUCAUAUCUUUGAAUUAUAAAUAUGCAACAUAUAAAUCUCAUACCGAAUAAUACAUUCCUGAUGAAUGAUCACUCUCCUAUGUAGGGAGAAUAUCUCGUAGUUGAGACUAUCGUUCCCAGAUGGAACCUAUCCAGAAGAAACAAAGUCUGUGUUGAACACCAAAGUUUGAUAAUCCUUAUAAAGGGAUAAAGACCCAUACAGACCCGAAAAGGAAUAAGAUGAGGUACCAAAGGACUUGAAGUUCACCGAAUAAGAACAUGUGCAUUCCAUGAGUUUUACUCAUGGUAAUUUCCACUAGAUGUGGAAUUACGGUAUCCUCUAAAGCCCUGAUGGUAGAAACCUAUAAGGUUUAGGUGUUACUGGCAAAAUAUCCCCAUUGUGCCAGAAUGACAGACUAUAAUGAUGUAUCUGAUCGAUGAAAAAUCCCUGAUGGAUUACGAUCUUAGAUGGACUUUUGUGACACCAUCAUAGAUGUUGCAAUGGAUGAACGACUCGAGCGAUGUAUCAUAUUUAGAAUAUGUACUAUUGCAACUAUAUUAUCUCCUAAGUCCUAUUGAAGGACAUGUUAUUUGCUUUGCACAACUAUGUAUAAAUUGUGGUGUAAGAUAGAAAAUGAUAGCACCCCAACCUCAUCCAUUCUCGUUAUUCCAGAUGAACAAUGAGACAUAUAUCUUGAAGAAUAUGCUUGAGUUACGAGGGAUAACAACUUUAACAGAUGUCAUCGUCAGGGGGAGCGAAUGCUUAUAUUGAUCACAACCGUGAGACAAUAAAUGGCAUAUUCUAUGCCCUGAAGGCGUGAGCUUGAUGAUCAAUAUGUGAACCUUUAUGGAACUUUCUAUCAAAUAUAUAGAUCUAGUCGAUCGAACACCAUCAGUCAAAGUAGCUUAUUUAUAUUGAUACGUGCACUUACCUCGUAUAUCCUAGAAGUGAGUAGAGGUAAAGUUCCUGAAAUAGUCCUUGCAAGGAUAUGCAAUCCGUUUGCUAAAUCUUUAUGUGCAUAUACUUCUAGAAGAAGAUGUUUUGCCUUAUUGAUACGGUUUUGCAAGGAUCAGGGGGAGCACAUUUCUAAAGUUAGCCCUUCUAGAAUAUUCGAUAGAAUCUAGAUCCCAAAGGAUCGGAAUCUGUCCUGAUGACAGUUGUUGUACUAUUUUUCCCUUGGUGAGUUUUCUUGAAGUUUCUCACAUGAGGUUUUUAACGAGGCAACAAAGUGCAAAUGCAAUUUGUAUCACCAUGCACUCUUUCUCCAUAUUUUUUCCACUGGGUUUCUCGGAGUUUUAACGAGGCAUGUGUUGGUCGCGGUAUUCGCCCAAGGGGGAGUGUUAAGUAACCCUAGUUAGGGUUAUGUGGGCAAAUACCUGCUUUGCCCCUGAGGGGUCUCACAUCUCUAUAUAUAUAAGGAACAUGUACACCCCUCAUAAGAUAGAGAUCAGAAAGAGGCUAGAGGCCCAACCCUAUAUCCAGUGUCUCGUGUGUUUCCUCUGUCGUGCUUAUGGGAAGGGAGACGGGUUCUCUACAUCUUAUUACGCCUAUACUGCUGACGGGAGGGAAGGGAGCGAAUCUGGUGAUCUGUGGUAACGUAGUUCUCAACAUUACUGACUUGUGGGUGUGGGACCCGAUGGUCAGCUGCUGGAUCCAAAAUGUGCGCGCACACUCUCACCUCCGCCCUCUGGCAUGCGGGCCCCAGCGCCUGUUCUUCUUCCCCACGGAAGAUCUCCACCGAAUUUGUGCUUCUGGCCGUAAAUCUCGGCAGCCACAAACUCCGCAACAACCUCAUGUUGCUCGGCCAUUGUAGGACCCUCUCGGUGUAUAUAUAUAUAUCUCCACCGAAUUUGUGCUUCUGGCCGUAAAUCUCGGCAGCCACAAACUCCGCAACAACCUCAUGUUGCUCGGCCAUUGUAGGACCCUCUCGGUGUAUAUAUAUAUAUAUAUAUAUAUAUAUAUAUAUAUAUAUAUAUAUAUAUAUAUAUAUAUAUAUAUAUAUAUAUAUAUAUAUAUAUAUAUAUAUAUAUAUCGGUCGACGUCAUGUGGUUUCGUCCACUCAUAGACCAGCAAGAACGAGGGCGCCACUGCGAACCAGGAACCUCACGCCGACGCUGGGGGCACUCACUAGUUGUCGUGCGCUGCUUUGAAAGGGGGGUAGAGGGUUCGUCGUAACACCACGAAGGUAGUCGUGACCCUAGUGUCCGAAGAAGGCCCUCGGAGACCACCCAAUUUCUCGUCGGCGACCCUAAUUCGCCAUAAGACCGCCACCUCACGACGCCUGAGAUCUACAUAAUCCAAUAACUGGUAAUAACCCCCCUAACCAUUAUCCUUAAUCUCUACAACGUGUAGCAUCUAGCCGCGCUUGAAAUAGGGUACCGACGUGCGUUACCAGAAACUCCGACCAUGGCUGCCGCCGUGCAAGUACUGUGUGUCGCCGUCGUGCGCGGUUGGGUUGGGGGGUGUUCGGUGGCUGUUGAUCUCCUAUGCAACGGUGUAGAUUAAAACUCUGCGCCAGAUUGAAUGGAACCAAUGGGAACCAUCCGAUCUGGAACGGGUGUGCAUCAUUAGAUCUGGGUAUUUACAAUCGAAGCCAUCGAAACCCAAUCCUAUGACCGCUAUUACGUACCGGUUCAGAAUUGGGCGGAUUUAAUCCGGGCCGCGAGUUUCUGAUCGAGUGGCUGCAAUCGUGUACCAAAUUGGGAUCGAAUCCGGGCCGUAGGAUCUAAUCUGAUCAGUCAGGAAUCAUGCUUACCCCUUCGGCCGGUGAUAUUACAAAAGAGCCCUCGGGUUUAUGCCAAAUCAACCCGUCGUCCCCCUUUGUGUAAAAGAUCACUACACUUAGGUCUUGUUUUAGCACUUUGGCCCCUGGUUGCUUCAGAAAUUGGAAUUGCAGCCAAAGUUCUCGGUUAUUCAUAAACUAAAUAAAGAAAAUGAUUUUUAAUAUGAAAAUAAUUCCAAAAACUUAUUUAAUAAAUAUUUAAUUCAUUUUAACUUCAAAUUGAUCCAUUCCAGUUGCAUUAAAUUCAUAAUAAUAUUGUUUAUCAUUUGGUAACCUUAGUUUGUUAUGAAACCUAGAUUAAAAAUUAGGCACUUAGUUCUUUUAUAUCCAACACAUAAAUCUUCAGAAAACCAUAACUCUUUAACCGUAACUCCGAAUUUAGUGGUUCUCGAUCAUGCGAUCUCGUAGCAACGCGUAGAUUAUUAUUAUGCAGUUUGUUCUGAUGUUUGGUGUGAUUUAAAUUUUGCCUAUACUAUGUUUGUUUGUAUUGCUACGACUAGUAGUGAGGUUCCGAGAAUCUGAAGAUCAUCCUAGUACCUGGAAUCUUGAGUCCCAGGCAAGUUGUGUUCUUGAUCACUCCUUUUUACAUAAUAAUGUUCAUAUUUAAUCACUGUGACAUGCUCAGGUUAAUUUGAUGGGACCUAAUAGGUUUCCCUAGCAUUGUUUAUUCCCCACCUUACAAACAGAUGAAUUAUUGGGAAGAUUUGUUAUUGCUCUACCUGGUUUUGGGAAACUAAUGUUUCAUUAUGAUCAUGUUCCAAUUAUGAGGUUGUUUAAUCAUUGUUCAUGAUAAAAUCAUAUUAUUAAUUGGAACAUGGAGAACCACCUGGGAAAACAGUGCUACCACAAGGGUGGUAUAGGACACCCUUGGCUGACUAAUUAAGAAAGCUAGUGGAGGACUACCUUACCCAAAAGGUGCAAGGGCGGUAGGGGAGUGGUCAGUGUAGGGAGGUCCUUGGGUUGAUUUUGCUGCGAUGGCGGUCAAGCGAGGGAUCCCUGCAUUGGAGCUUUCUAGAAACUGUAGCGGGUUUUCUGUAGCGGGUUUUCGUAGUGUUACCUUGCCUCGCUUCCUUGGUAGAGGUGUAUGGGGUUCAUGACCCCUUGGCAGAUUGGUAACAUGACUUGUGGGUAAAGAUGCACAACCUCUACAGAGUGUAAAACUGGUAUAUCAGUCGUGCUCACGUUCAUGAGCGGCUCGGACACUCACAUGAGUAAUUUAUGGAACUAAAUUUAAUUUGUCAUAUGCAUUGCAUCGCGGGUGUUGUUAUCAAUUUUGAUCUAUUACUUAUUUGGGUUGGUAUCUACUUACACUUAGUAACUGCUAAUAAAAUUUUAACCAACUUUAAAAGCAGAGCUCAGCUUUAGCCAUCCUCUUUGGUAAGCCUUACACUUCACAUGAGCUCCCACCUUUGGUGAGUUCAUGCACAUUAUUCCCCACAACUUGUUGAGUGAUGAACGUAUGUGAGCUCACCCUUGCUUUCUCACACCCCCCACAGGUAAAGAACAGGUACCACAGGAUGAGGCGCAUGGAGGAUGCUGUGAAGAGUUCGUGGGAGGUCUAGGUCAUCGUCUACUAGUCAACUUUGGGUUGCUGGAUCGUUGUCUCCACAUGAUGUAAUUAUUUAUUUAUUUUGUACAGAACUCCUAUUAUAUAGUAAGGAUGUGACAUUCAUUUUUGUACCAUGAUUCAUCAUAUGUGUGAGACUUGGUCCCAGCACACGUGGUGAUUAUGUCCACGCCGAGGUCCCUAAAACCCGGGUGUGACACUAUAUGCCUUCAUAUUUGCUGUCGACCACUACCUCUGGACUCCACACCUGUGCACCAUAAGCCAAGAAACAUGUUGCACACAAUCACACACUGGUUAGUCUAGAAAACUUAACCCAAGACACUACUCUAUCAAUAAUGACUAGUCCUAAACACGAACCAUAAGGGCACAUAUCACACUUAUGUUUGCUGUGUAGCUUGACACCACUUGCAAUUAGCUUAAGGAUAGAGCGAUGAAAAAUUUAUGCUAAAACUUUUUUCCUUUUUCAUUGUCUUUUGAUUUGUUUGAGAAAUUCAUGCACGUCAUUAAUAAGAUGCUUUCACCAUCAUUAUGUUCUUGGUGCAUGGGAUCAAUGUUGUGCAUCAGAAUCAACACCUUUGCAUAAGAAGCUUUCAUAGUCCACAUAUUGAUCCAAAUCCUGCUGAUCCUUUCAUUCUGGGAGUUAGAACCAGUUCAUUCAACAUAUCAGCAAAGUCUGCUCCACUUAGAGGCUUUAGCAGUCUCUUUGUGAUGAUAAUAUCCUUCAUAAAAGUGUUCCUCUCAAAUCUAUAGUGGUGAUUCUAGGGUAAUAAAUGUCUAUGGUAAUCAAAGUAAGAUAUCUUCCCAUCAAAUUAGACGCAAAAAAUAAUCAGCGCCUUUACCAUAUACGGGACACGUUAAAUUUCCCUGAACACUUCAUCCUAAAAAAUACCAUAUGCCAUCAUGGAGCAACCACAAAUAUGCAAAAUGAAAGCUAAAUUUCUGCUCUUAUAACAAUCAUAUGCUUUGACUCAGCUGUUUCAACUCAUUGAUCAAUGGUUUCAACAUCACGUUAAGCUACUUCUAGGAUGAUCUUGACCAUGUAUAAUGAGGCACAAAAAACAUAAACUCAUAUUUAACGCAAAGAGAAGGUUUACAGUGUAGCGUUUUCAUUGAAAGGCAUAAAGCCAUCUAUGGCCAACCCGAUGCGAACAAUUUCUCGCGUAUCUAACAAUAUUUUUGCCCACAAAUUUCCCCAUUUUCCUGUCAGUAUGUAUCGUACACAAGUAAAUCUGACAAACCCCAGAUUAAUUACUGAAGCAUCACCAAUCAAUAUAAAUUGAUUACAUAUCGUAAGAGAAAAGCUAGGCACAACAUCAUCAUAUGACACCUUCACGGUGCAUGCACAAGGAUACACUGGAAUUUGAGCUCUAAUAUAAACAUCGUUGCUAGACGACAUCCUCAAACAAGACUUUGGAGAUGUGAUGCUCAAGUGUUUCCGGCGAGCAGAGUGCAACGUAGUAGUAACUCUUGGUCACGUGGAGAAACGUCUGCCUCGUCUCUCUGUCCACGGAGCUGCCGCCGCUGCGGAAAACACAUUGAGCCAGUUCUCUCAUCUCGAGUCCAACCAUCCUGUCCAGGGCAUCAACCUUGUCCAUGGUUUCUCCAUUCUGUUUGAGGACGUUUGAUUCGAUCUGUAAUUAACAAACAUCUAUCAUACGUUGAAUACAUACGACCCGACCGCCAUGCAUAUGACCGAUGAAUACAGUAUACAUACCAGAGCAGGAGCUUCAGUGGCUAGUCUGGAGCAUAUGCAUCUAGUGAGCUGCUGGAGCUUGGAGUAAUCCGGCAGACGUAGCUCGAGAUCCUGUUCCGUACCACGGAGCCUUCCUGAGCAUAUCUCGACUGUGCGAGCUAGCAGCAGCGCUGUAUCUCCUGCGUGUGACGCUUCUUCCGUCUCCUUUUCAGUCCAUGCCAUGAGCCAUUCCAUCCACUGCAUGCAAUCAUAGGAACAGAUUAAUUCAAUUUACUACGUGUGUAUGGCUGUAUGCGUGUGUGUGUGAUGAAUGAGCUAGCUAGAGGCAUUGGAAUUUUUACAGCUCCACGAAGACAUUCGGCGACAGCAGCAUUCCCGGACGCCUGCAAGUGGACGAGCUCACGAAGAACACCGGCGAGGCUGCUGGCCCCCCAUGCUGGUGAAUUCGGCUCGUCGUCGUCUCUCCUUGCUGGGUUGUAGUCGUAGUAGUAGCCAGCAACAUUGUCACCAUUGGUGAAUUCCCGGACGAGCCAUUCGGCCGUCGUCUUAUUACAAGCGCAUGUGUCGUUGUUGCUCAACAAGCAGCACGAGAUGGCCUUGGCGAGCACCGCGGCGCGUGCCCAAGCCAGGCGCUCUGCUGCUUGGCCCGGCUCGAAGAUGCAGGCUGCCGCCAGGAAGUAGGCUCUCAGCGCGCCGCCCGGAGCCACGCCGUACGUUUCAAGGUCGCUCUUGUCACACCACCUGUGGUGUUCUUGAAUUCGUCAAUAAUGCAGAUGCAGCAUGCAUGGUUGAACAAGCUAAUAAGGGCAUGCAUGCUGCAUGAUGAGUACCUUUUGAGGUCGUGCCACUCUAGUCGGCAUAGUCUCUGAAAGUUGCUGAAAUCGACUUUCGCCACCUCGAGGUACAUGUCGUUGCUCACCAUGUUCAUUCUGUAGAGAACCUUGCCGAUCCAUACGUCACGACUUCCACCGUAUUGCUCAAGAUACAUUCUCGUCUCAAUACGUGGCAGGCUUGCUCCCCAAGGGAAAUCCAGACCAUAGCCAACCUGCUGGGAAGAACGUCAAGUGCGUAUAUGCAGUGGACGUUAUUGGAUACAUAGCCCAACCAAACAACACAUGUGUUAGUUACCUCGUCGGGCAAGCCCUCGGAGAUGAUCCACUUGUCGUUAAGCUGGCCUGAGGCUCGUCUCUGCCGGAGGAACGCACGGCUGUAGCUCCUGGCGCGCCGGAGGACAUGGUCGUCGUCGUCACCGGGGAACGAGGCCUGGUCAGCAGCUCGGUACAGGUUGUACAUGGCGCUUACCGACUGGCUCGAUUGCCUUGCGUAGCACACGAACUGCCCGUCGCCAUUCUCGAACCGCUUGAAAACACCUUCAUAUACAUUGUUCAUAUCAAAACACACGCUUCAGCAUAUUAAGACAUAUAGGGGGCUUCAUUUUUCAGUUCCAUGAGAUGACGGAUGAUGCUCUAUCUGCACACAAGUUUGAGUAGUAGCACUUACAAGGAGAGACAUGGUCGUAGCCGUGCAGUCGUAGGAGGCGGAAACCCAUGGCCGUGUCAUCGAUGUCCUUCACCAGGCAGCCCUUCGUAUAGGCCAACCCUUCCUCACUCCAGUGCCUGUUAAUAAUAAGGUAAGAAGAAGAAUAUAAUGCUCUACUACUCCUGAUGAAUAUAUAACAUAAAGGAUAUGGCCAUGGGUUAAUGCUUACCUGUAAACAUAAUCUAAGUAGUCCUCAAUUUCGCUCUUGAAAUAACCUGAUAUGCCCAGCCUCUCCAACCGGUCCACAGCCCAUAAGCGCCCAAACAUCUCCAUUGGGUAAACAAAAGGUACUGAAAAGGGUUAACAAUGGAGGCACAUUCAAUUUUGGGUUAUCUUGGAAUUCAAUGCUUUCUCAAGGCACCAUUUUAAUUAGCUAGGAUUGUUUGGAGUUAAAAAAAUUUGUCUUUAAUUUGAACAACAUGUACUAUCUUUUAUUCGUAAUAAUCAAUGAAAUUCUAUAAUGUGAAUAUAUUUCCUAUCUUUUCAUGAAAUGUGACUAGCUUAUUUGUGACGAAAAGGGUACAAUAUAUGAACCAUAAAUGAUAUAUGUAGGGGGUAUGUAGUUAUCUUUCUUAUUAGAUUCUUCAUUUUUUUUCAUUCAUACAACUACUUCAUGCAAGCUUAAAAAUGUCAUGUGUAAAAAGAACACGGGAAGUAUAGUUUCUUGUCAGCAUUUUAUGUGCUCUUCGAUCCAUACCUCCUCCGUUAAACUUGUCGAUCAGUUUAUCAAGGAACUCAAAACACUUGGCAUCCCCAGUCUGCAUUAGAGCAUAAGCUGUGGGAGCAGGCGAAGACAUGUAGGAGCCAUCUGGACACUGGAGCUUACGUAGCCUUUUCCAGUCCAAACCUGGCAUCCCUUCUAUGCUUAGAAGGAAAGUUGUUGGUUCAGCAUGAAGUGCUUCUCUUGGGAUCCUACACACAUAAAUAAUUGAAGUAUGUAGUACAUGUGUUCAAGUUUUAAAGUGAUGAUAUCAGAAAAAAUAUAGAAUGAAGCAGCAAGUAUAUAUAUACAUACUUGUUUAACUUGAGUUCUCUUUUGGCUCGUAUAGCUUCCAACAUGGGAUCAUCCAAAGGUAUGUCGAUGCCUAGGUGUUUGGCCUUCUCUAGCAACAUAGGGAAUAUAAUCUCGAAGCCUGAUAGUGCCCAAUUCUCAUCAUCCCUGGUCAACCUCCACAUAUUUUCAGUGAUGAAUGAUAGACCUGCAACAAGUCAAAUUAUUAUUCAUGUCGUCGUCGAUGUUCACUAACCGCUACAAAGAAUCCUAGCUAUAUAAUAACUUAGCGAUGAAUGUUGAUAAAUUAAGUUGGAUCAUUAUUGAAAAGAAAACAAUAAAUAUUUUCCCUCCAUUAAUUUAACCAACAAUGCAUCGUUGCUCUAUAUACAUUUGAUGUUCAGAAUUAUAUCCUAGAAUAAUACAUGAGCCCUCUAUAAUAAUCAUACCUUUUGUGCACGCAUCAUCGUGGAUUUUCCAUGAUUUCAAUGCGAUGACGCAGGCUAGGGUGUUGAUGAUCCGAUCUUGGGCUAGGAAGAAGAUGUCAUGACCCCAUGAUCCAUCGGGAAGCUGGUUUUGAGCAAUCCAAUCAAUGCAAGAUGGGAACUCUGGUCCAUCAUCUCCAUUAUUAUUCAAACUCCUUACAAGUGCAACCCAUGCCGUGUCAUAUGCUGAAAUGCUAAUCUCACCGUCUCCCAUUGAACGAAGGGCUACUCGGAUGGCCUCAAUCAUUUCGGGCAUGCCACUUUGUUUAUCCUUAAUUUAGAAAGAUUUCGUACACGCUGAGUUCACUAACACACUUUUUAAUGAAUAGAUGUCAAUCAAGUAAUAUAUGUUCACCUUGUGUUGAGGAGUGGCAGGAACAAGUAAAUCAUGACCGAGUGUUUUUAGUUUUUCACCCUUUGUGGCACCCAUGGCGCAACCUAGCUAAUAACAAGACAUGGUUAAAAGGGUGAGUUUUUUAUUUUUUUUAAAAAGUCAGCCUUGUUUGAACAUGACAUAUUUUUAUGUCCUGUCCACUCAAAUAAACACUGUUCCGCUAGCCUCUACACUCAAACACAGUGUACAAUCAUUGGUUUCAAAGCCUAGGGGGCAUAUAUAGUGGCCACGUACAAUCAACAUUGAAUACUGUUUUUAGUGUCAGCUCAAAUAAGUAUGACCCAUGAUCAGUCAUAAUUUGGGUCAUUAUGUGUUGGACUAUACAAGUAUACAUUGAUCCAGCUAUGAGAGUAGGAUAUGCCGCCAUGAUCAGUCAUAAUUUAGAUCCUAUAUAUGGACUAGCUACAGAAGAAAUUACAAGGGCCACAAUAGGUUUGGGGGUUCUUCCCACGAUGAUUAUUUGGUUCGUUGCGGACAGGACAGAGAUGUGGAUAGUAACAAACAUUUUUACCAACAGUUGGACAGGACAGGCUAAUUCUCUGCAUCUUUGUUUGAAAAAAUAGUUGAUGGAUCACACACCUGGACGUGGUCUUGGAUUUGGAGCAUUUAGGUGACUGAACCUGAUGGGCGGCAGACGCCUUGUUGCAUCUGUUACCUGAUGGACGUGUAGUAGUGUUGCAGUCGACGGCAUGCACUGCCAAGGACUCAUCGUGGUCGUGGCUGUUCCUGUUCCUCCCUAAAAGUCUCCUUCCGCGCCCUCACCUCCACAAGUUGG